rnacentral:lncRNA from 1 species
AUUACUUCAAACACUAAUUUUGAAUUUCUAACAUUCACUCAUUUCCUUGUUUUCAUCAACCCGUAAAAUGAAGCAGCAAGUAGUUUUUGUCUUAGGCCUGCAAACUCUGAAUUGGAUAAUACAAUAAUAAUAAUAAAAUACAAGUUUUAAAAUUAAAUAUUUGCACACACGAUCACAAUUUAUUUCCCUUCAUAACCCCAAUUUUUGCAUGGCCCUCUUAUAGCAUAUACAUAUAGCUAUUAUGGUACAAAGGGGGGCAUAUACAUCAAAGUAUAUAUGACAUGAAACAUAUUGGUAUAUCAAAUAUUCUGGACAGUUCUGUUGGAUAUGGAAUAAUGGGAACUCUUGAUAGUACUUCAUAUACCUGCCAUGCAUUCCGGUGGGGUGACCGGGUACCGAGACUUGUCGGUGCAGUAAUCGUAGAUCAUGUGGUUCAUCCGAACCCAUCUGUAUCUCCUAGCUUCCAUGGCAUUAAGAGCUUGAUAAGCAGUACCUUCCCACCAGUUCCUAGGGUUACUAGCACAAUUUGCUGGCCCUGGAACUGGACACCCUUCAAUGUCAAAAUCCUUGUAAUAAGCCAAAAAUGGUGCUUUGCUCCAAUCAAUUUUCUCAAGUCCUCCCCUUGUUGCCCAAUCAUCAGCUUCCCAUAGUGUUGAAUAUACCCCCAUAGGUUGAAAUUUUGGGUAUGGGAUGUUUUUUGCUUCAUUGUUCUUGUAUACUCUUAUUGGCACUUCAUCUACAUAAAACCUGUUAAGAAAAAGCACCCAAAUGGUCAAAUUUUAAUGUCAUAUAUGCUUAUUAAUGUCACAUUUAUAGUUAGAUACUGGACUUACACAAUAUGAUGAUGGUUCCACAUAAUUGCGUAUGUAUGGAAAUCAGCAGCUGGAUCAAACCAGAGGUUAACCCUUUGUUCUCUAUCACCUUUACCAUGAGCAUAUAUGUUGGUUUGGACCGUGUAUGGUUGCCCGGUUCGGUUUCCCAAGAACUCGAAAUCUAGCUCGUCUCUUACGGUGUCCGUAUCAGAAUUCAUCUGCAAUACCAGAUUACAAUGAAAAACAGAUUAAAGGUUAAAGGUUAUGUCGGUAGGUAGCUUUACGUACGUAAAAGGCGGUGACGGUUCCGGCCGAGUCACCGGGGAUAAGCUUGAUCUUCAUGCUGACACGUCCAAACAAAUACCGUCUUUUGGAAGCAAAUCCACAGCCUAUAAAACAAAAUGAAUUAACAACACAUUAUCGAAGGGUUAACACAUUUAAUCAUUGAUUAUUAUUUUUAAAAAGUUAAACCUGAAUUUUGGUCUAGAAUAAGUUGAAUGGCCCUCCCCCCAUCGAUUUGCUUGAUAUGGGAAUCGGACCAAGUGAUUCUAAAAUCUUCGAGGAAAGUGGCGGGUCGUCCCGAAACCGAGAUCGAACAUGCAAGGAAACAAGAGAAGAUGAAAAGAAAAGCACUGCUUAGAGUUGCCAUUGUCAUCAAUGUUUUGAACUUAGAAGAUUAAAUUGUGGUGAAUAUGUGUAUAUGUGUAUGUAUAUAUAUAUAUAUAGGUGGGAGAGAUUAAGGUUGAUGUAGACCGCUGCAUUGAAAUAGAAAGUGCCAUUCUUAAGUUUAGCUUUCGAUACAGCUAAUGGCAAGCCGUCUUUAGGCCCUACAUACCCCCCAACUGUGCUCUAAUUUUGCCCUUUGGGAACCUAAUCUUAAUGCUUCCACUUCAUAACUUUCUCUUUGUUUUUGUUUUCAUUCUCCAACCUAACAAGAAAAAGGGAUCACAGAUAUUGAAAUUUUACAAUUGAAUUGAUCGUAUAUACAUUGUUUGUCAUGUUCCGUCAUCACAUGAAAAUUUGAUUAAUUUUAUAUAUGGGUGGAUAAUUUUCUAUCUCAUGAAAUUGAUAUGGUAUGAAGGUGGUGUAGAAAAGGAUUGAAGACCAAUGAGGUGUGCCUAAAAAUUUGGGUCAAAUAGGGUUUGGACUUAAGUUCACAAAGGCAGUCUCAUUCAAUAUUGCUUAUCUAAUAUAUCUGUGAACAGCCUAGAUUGAUAUUGAACGGCCGGUUGGCCGGAUCCACCGAGUUACAUGCCCCACCAUUAAGUUUUUUGGGGUCUAAUUGGUCAAAUUCCAUAGGCCUGGAAACCAAUCAGUAUAUCAAUUUAGAUAAAAGGGUUAGAUCGAUUUUAGAGCGAAGCACUUAAAACUAAAUUUAAACCGUAAACCGGUUGAACUGUUUUUUAAUGUUUUUAGUCCAAAUUAAUGGUCCAAAUCGAAAAAAAAAUCUCAACUGGCAAAAUCCAAAUACGUAAAUAUAUCAACCCAACCCACCCGAAUACUUAAAAAAAUUAUUAUUAUUAAGAAAAAAAAAGAGAGGAGAAAAACCAAUAUAAAUCGAAGUGUCAUUAUUGUUAUUUAUUUGUGUUUAUACAAUUUUGUUUUUAAUUUUGUCAAAUUUUUACUUAUUUUCCAAAUUUUCUUUAAUUUUGGACCAAUCGAACUAAAAUUUGGUGAUCUGAUUAGUUCGAUCACCAAUCCAAUUCCGAAAACAUUGGGGGUAGGGGUUGCCUUAUUUUCAUAUUGAUAUAGUAGACAUCGAUAAAAAUAAGAAAAAUAAGAACACAUGAAUUUCUUCAAUAAGUGACGGGAUUCGGGUCACACAAUCUCUAACACAUAUUAACAUGGCUAGCUCUCCUAGAAAAACUUUUAAAUGUUAAUCGAAAACUUUCCCAACUCGAAUAAAAAAAUCUUAAAUCCAAAAUGACUCAAAUCCUAAUUAUUACCUAAACUUAAUUCAAAAAUUCACUAACAAACCCGAAUAACUUCAUCUUACAAAUAAUCCAAACCCAAAUUAAUAUCAAACCUAAAACCACUCAAAAGUCAUGUUGAAAAUUGGAUCAAAUUCCAUUCCCAUCUUUUUCUACCACUUGACAAUUGUUGUGACAAGGAAUAAUUUCAAACAAAAGUAUUAUCCUAUUUUACAUCAAUUGAAGUUAAAACACAGAUAGUGAAAGACUGAGAUAUCUGAAAAUUAUACGACAGAAAGGGAUCAUUUCUUUCACCAGUUGCAUAACUGACGUACAAAGAUCCUCGGGAUUAAAGUUCAACCAAUGUUGGCUGCCAAACCUCAAUUAUUUUAAAACUUUGACCUCAAAGUCAAUAUAAAAAAAUAAUUCUAAAAAUAUGUAGUCCUUAAAUGAUUAAAUAUGCAAAUUUCCUUGUCCAAAUAAAAUUUUUAAUUUCUCCUCACAAAUUAUGAUUAAUUUAUAAUAAAAAAUAAAAAUUGUGGAUCAUGAUUUCCUCUCUCAACUAUAUAUCUCCAGGAUCCAAAUUUGAGUUCUUUUCAUAAGAGCGAAUACGGUUUACCACUGCACUCAACAUUUUUAAAAAAGAAUUAUGUAUAGGAGGAGGCAAAUUCUCUUAUAUCCUGUAUGUUAGUAUUGAGUUGCGGAUUUGCUGUGUUUCGAGUUGCAACUAAUGAUAUAAUUGAAAUUGAAAAAGAAAAGGGUUAAAAUAUGUCAUAGGUUCCUGUGCUUUUUAAUUUUAGGAAUUUAGUUUCUCUGCUUUCUAGAUUUCAAAAUUCAAGUCAAAUUAUUAAUUAUGUUAAUUUUUUGGGGUUGAAUUUGUUGGUGUGACAUUUUGAAAUUAGAAAAAAAAACCUUACUUGGUAGUAAUGUAACUAAAAUAAUGACGUUGUAAUGAACCUGAAUUUAACAAAAUAAUCUUAAUAGUGCUAACAAUUGGACCUAAUUUUUUACAUCUAAAAAGUAGGGGGAUUAAAUUCCAAAUUUCUGAAGAGUUUAGAGACUUAUAAUAUAUUUUAUCCAAAAAUUAGUUGUAGAGUUCAAAACCCCUUCCUACAUCUAUAUGGUCUUACUCGAAGAGUGAUUCAAAAUAAUUCAACAAUACAAGAGAUGAUUUAAGCUCAACUUACUCAACUUGUUGUUGCCUACAUGCAUAUAUAUAUAUAUAUAUAUAUAUAUAUAUAUAUUUGGGGUUAAAUCACUUUUUAGGAUCAAAACAUGGUAACAUUUUUUAUAUUGGGGUUUGAAUUUUUUUUCAAGUUAGGUCAUGAACUUAGCAAUUAUUCUUCCAUUGGGAACUAAACUUUUUUUUAUUCAAGAUAGAUCCUGAAUUAACAAUUUUUCCAAUAUUAGGGUUGAAUUUUUUUUUCCAAAUUAGUCUUUAAAAACCCUAAAAGUUCAGGUCAAGCCUCGAUGUGAGAAUAAUUGUCAAGUUCUUGGACUAACUUGAAAAAAAAUUCAAGCCCCAAUUUGAGAACAAUUGCCUAGUCUAGACCCCAAUGUGAGAACAGUUGUCAAGUUCAAAGUCUAACUUGAACCAAAAAAAAAAAUUUAUACUCCAGUGUAGAAAAAGUUACCAAGUUCAAAUCCCAAAUAAUAAUUUAACACUAUAUUUUAUAUUGAUAAAACAUAAAAAAAUAUCUUAAUUAAAUUAUAAAUAAAAUUAAUCAUAUAAUUAACUCUCAACAUUUAAUAUUAAGAUCCGUAAUUAAUUAUUUUUCCCUAAUGAUGAGAAACUAAUUUAACUUUUAUAUUUGAACUAAUAUACCGAUUAAUUUAACUUUCAUUCAAUUUAACCGAUCGAUCCAGUCCUAUUAAAUAACAUCGGUGAAAAUGAUGGCAAAUAUUUUAUGGGGAUUGGGACAUGUGGAUGCAUGCAUGGUAUGGCAUAUAAGUGAUUGCUGGGAUAAGCUAAUAAAUGGGGUUUUUUACUAAAUUAUUAUAAAAAAAUAAAAAAAUAAACAAAAUAUUAUAACUUUUUUUUUAUUUACCAAAAUAUUAUAAAUUUUUUUAAUUUACCAAAAUAUACCAAAAAAAAACUUGCAAAAAAAAACCUGUGGCGGCACCAAUGGUGCCAAAGCACUAAAAUGUAUUUGCAGUUUCAAGGACCUGACAUGCAAAUUUACCAUUUUAAAAUUUGAAAGUGAAUUGCCGCUGUGCGUGUGGGGCGCACUAAAAUUGAAAUGUGGCUAAUUGCCUUCUAAGCCCUCCUUAUUUUAAUUAAGUAAUAAACUUUAAUUAGUUAAGUGAUAAUUAAGAUACUUAGAAUUCUAAUUAAGUAAUAACUCUAUUUUAAUUUAAUAAACUAUUCUCAUUUAAUAAACUCUAAUUUAAUAAACUCUAUUUUGGUAGUUUGAUGAGAAUAGUUUAUUAAAUUAAAAUAGAGUUAUUAAGUAAUUUGAUGAGAAUAAUUUAUUAAAUUAAAAUAGAGUUAUUUCUUAAUUAGAAUUCUAAGUAUCUUAAUUAUCACUUAACUAAUAUUAGAUUUAAUUAAAAAAUUAACAGAAAUACCAGGCAUGCCUUAUUGAAAAACCAGAAGUAAUAAUAAAACUGAUCACCCAUAAAUGUAACCCAAAUAGAAAAAAUAAAUUAUAAUUAUAAACUAUUCUCAUCAAAUUUAGUAAAUUUUUUAAAUAAACUAUUCUCAUCAAAUUACCAAAAUAAUACAUAAAAUGCGAAUUAGUUUAUACUUUUUUAAAUAGCUUUACUUUAGGUAAAAUAUAUUUACUUUAAUAAUAAAAUAAAGGGAUUUUAUGAGUAAAAGUCAUAGAUUAAGAGCUUAUUUAACUACAAAAAUAGGUUGAGGGCUUGUUUAUUAAAUAAAAAAGUGAGUUAAAGGGGAAUAAAAAGAAAAUAAUAAAUAAGGAGGACUUAGAAGGCAAUUAGCCACAUUUCAAUUUUAGUGCACCCCACACGCACAGUGCAGCAAUUCACUUUCAAAAUUGAAAAUGGUAAAUUUGCAUGUCAGGUCUUUAAAACUGCAAAUAGUUGCAUUUUAGUCCUUUAGCACCAUUGGUGCCACCAAUCUCUUUGGCACCUUUGGUGCCGCCACAGGUUUUCUUUUUGCAAGUUUUUUUUGGUAUAUUUUGGUUAAUAAAAAAAUUUAUAAUAUUUUGAUAAAUAAAAAAAAGUUAUAAUAUUUUGGUUAUUUUUUAUUUUUUUAUAAUAAUUUAGUAAAAAACCCUAAUAAAUGCGUUCUCCAUUGGCAUUGAAUUUUGCCACCAUAACAAUAUUUGAGGUAAAUUUCAAAAAUAGUUCCAUAUCUUUGUUUAAGUUUAAUUUUGGUCACCGAUGUUUCAAUUGUUACGUUUUGUAGUUCACUUUUAUAUUCGGACCAAUAUACUCUUUCCCGUCUUCCUUUUCUUUUCUUCUAACCAAACCCUAGUCGCUGCUCACCGCCAUCGAUGGUCCUCCGGCCGAUAGUGCCACCAUUACUCCUCUCCUCUCCGUUCACUGAUUCAGAUUUCUUCUAGAGCAAACAAAAGGACAAAAGCCCAAGUUGAAGCUUAAACCUUUUCCAACCGUCAGAUCGGCCUAAUCCCAGGAUAUGUGCCUCUCCUCCGUCCAAUGAGGCUUUUCACCAUUGGAUUUGCGAGCAAAUAACUAGAGCCCCGAGAAUUCAACAACCCGAAAUGGGUUUUCUCUUCCCCUUUUGAUUUCCAUUUGCUCUCUUUUUCUUGAUUUUUUAUUCUCUUUUUUUCAUUUCUAUGCCUUCUUCUUUUCCGUGACAUGGAAGCCAUGUUAGCAUUUAGUGGUACAAUUUGUGCAAUGUCAGAUUUUUAUUAACACUAUUAACGGCCAUUAACCGACCAGUAAUCAAAUUGUUAAUAAUUGAUAAAAUUUAUGAUCAAAUCAUAACAAUUGAAACAUCAAUGACCCAAAUGUAAACUUAAACAAAGAUAUGGGAUUAUUUUUGAAAUUUCUAUAACACUAUUAAUGCCCAUGGUGGUAAAGGGCAUAAUUUAUUAUUAUAUUAAUCAAAAUUAUGUAUAAUUAGCAGAAAACAUUAAUUUUUGUAAUUAAUUGUCUUUAAUUACUCAUUUUCAAAAUUGACGAAAUUUAAAUUAUUCUAUCUUUUUAAGAGAUUAAUCUGCUCGAUAUUAAAAUUGAAGGAGACUGAAGAAAUAUUUUUACCUAAAAUUUUUUAGUAUAAGCCUAGCACUUUCCUAGCCAAUCAAGUCCUUAUCAUAUGGUUUGAUUGUCAAACUCAAAAUUAAAGUCAGUCUUUAUUAAAUCAAAUAAUUGCAAAGUGUAUAGCUUUUGCCGGUUCUAUCUUAAUAAUGUAAUCCAUCUAAUAAUAUAUAUUUGUUAAUGGGUCGGGUCGGAUCAAGUUCGAGUUAGGUUUAAGUAUAAUGUCAACACAUUGUAUGUUUAUCCAAGUUCGUUUAGUCUGAAAUAUAAAUUUAAAAUUUUAUCUAAAUCUACCCAUAUUUAUAAAUAUCUGGUCUAAAUUCAUUUUAAACCCGCUCAUAUUAUCUUUAAUUUAUUAUUUAAUAAUUUAAUUUUUUAUUUAUAAAAAAAUUUAUAUAUAGACAUCUAAUAUUUUUAAUGUUUAUAUAAUAUAUAUUAAAAAUUAAAAAGGGUCUAGGCUAAGUCGGACUUCAAAUGUUCAAACUCAAAUUCGACUCAUAUUUUAAACGAGCCUAAUUUUUGUUUAGGCUCAAUUUUACGAGAGUUUAACCUUUUUAAAAAUCAGACAACAUUGGAGUUAAACGAAUAACCCGAUCUAUGAAUAGCUCUAGAUUAACCCAAGACUCAAUUAUUUGAAAAACAUAAAAAGGGCCUAGGUAGACAAAAAGGUUUAAUGUAUUUUGUUUUUUGCCGGUAAAUUGAGAAUGCUGGAAUUGACAAAGCAACAAUAAAUAAGAAGCAUCUUUAAUUAGAGGCUGGCAAGCCAAUGGCUCUUCAAUUCCUAUUUUUUCAUUAUCUUAUAUUAAUAAUUAAUUUGGAUUAUUUAUUUUAUUUUUCUUGAUAAUGAUUAAACAUAAAAGUUUUAGUGUCAUAAAUAGAAAUUGGAGUAAAUAUAGAGUUGUUCAUAAGACAGGUGGCCCAUUUAGCUCGCGUAGUAUGAUCCGAUUUGAAUUUAAAUUAAAUUCUUUUUAAAUUUUAUAUAAAUAUAAAUAUCAAAUAAUAUAUUUUAAUAUUUUACUAAUUUUUUAAAUGGUGAUAUGGAAAAUUUUUUAAAAAUUUGAUAAUUAUAUAUUUCUUUCACUACUAUUAUAUAUAUUUUUAUUAAAUUUUCAAAUAUAAAUAACUUACCUUUUUUAAAAUAUAUACAUUAUGAUAUAACAUAUUUAAUUUUCAUAUGAUAUAAGUACAUAAUGCAUAAAUAAAAGGAAAAGUUACAUAUCAUAAGCUUGAAAACAUACUAGAGUUGAUAUUUGAAUACUGGAGUUCGAAUUAGACUUAUAUUUUAAAUGAACUUAAUUUUUUUACAUAAACUCACUCCUAGCAUGACGAUUGUUUUUUUUUUUUUUUCCGAAUCCUCCCAAUUAUUGAGAAGGAAUUUGAGUUAGGGUAGGUAUAUUGACCAUUGAACAAGUCCAAUCAUAGUUAAUAUUUUGAAAUUAUGAUUUAGAUUUUUAAUUGGUCGCUAAAUUUUAAAACUUUCUAACUGAACUAGCAUAAGUAUCGUAUCAAUCAAGUCUUUUCGAAAGUUUAGUCAUUAGCUUGAGGAUAAACGUUGGCUCAAACAUAACAUUGAGCCUAUUUUAAACAUAUGGAUCAAAUUAUAAUAUGUGUAUCGAAUUUGACGUGUUAAGAAAUGAAUCUCUUAAAUUUAAUUGACGAUGUUACUUGGGAUAAACAACACUCAAGAUUAAUAAAUUGAUAAAUUAAUGUUUUAAUCAUUUAACUUUAAAAAAUUACUAAAUAAUUACUGAACGGGCAAAAUACUAAAAAAAGUCCUAUUUUUUUAAAAUUUAUCGAAAUGGGCUCGGUAUUUUAUUAUUUACUGGAAUGGGCCAUUUUCCCCGAAAUCGCGUCCACGUCAGCGCGAUGUCAGGGGACGUGUCAGAACAUCGCGUCCACGUCAGCUCGCUUAGCUUAUGUGGACAGAAAUCGCGCCUACGAGGACGCGAUUUGCUGACGUGGAUGAACAGUUUAUGUUUUUUAGCUUGGAAAACUUUGAAAGGCCAUAACUUUUGGCUCGGUUGUCCGAUUGAGACGAUUUUUUUAUUUCGAAUAACUUUUCGAGAUCUACGCGCUGAAUUUCGAUUUGCCGCAGUUUUCGUCAAAAAAGAUCCUUUUUUGCCCCUGAAUUUCGAUUUUUUCAGUUUAAAAUUGAAUUUUGAAACAUUCAAAUCAUUAUUUUCCUUAUUUAUUUGAAGUAAACACCGGAUUUUUUUUACAGAAUUGUUGUAUUAUUUUUUCUGAUUUGACACGUGUAUGGAAUAGGUCCGAUAAAUCGUUAGAACGUAAGUAAUAUAAUUAAGAUUAUAACAGUAUUUCUAUAAUAUGUUAAUUAAUUAGUUUGGCUUAGUUGGUUAAGAUGCUUGCUCUUUUCCCUUAGUACCUUGGUUCAAAUCUUGUUGGUAACAAUUUUGAAUCUUUUUUGUACUUGUUGCUAUUGAUGUAAUAUUGAAGAGUUAAUUGAUUAAAAAAAUAAAUACAAGUACAAAAAGAUUCAAAAUUUAUUUUUUCAAAAUACCAAAAAAGCCCUAUAUUUUUAAAAUUUAUCAAAAUGGGCCCGGUAUUUUAUUUUUUUGACCGUUGGGUACUGUUCACGCGCGGGCCGAAAUCGCAUCCACGUCAGCAUCUCGCGCUGACGUGGACGCGAUUUCCUGACGCGUACCCUGACAUCGCGCUGACGUGGACGUGAUUUUCCGAAAAAAGAACCAUUCCGAUAAAUAAUUAAAAAAUAGGCCCAUUGCGGUAAUUUAAAAAAAAAAGCUUUUAUUAGUAAAUUGCCCAUUACUGAACUGCUUAAAAAUUUUCAUUUAAAUUACUGGAAAGGUUUUAAAUAUAUAAUUUUACAAUUUUUUUUUGUUUUAUUAAAUAAAUGACCGACAAUACUAUAAACCUUUUAGUUUCCACUUUCUAUCUUGUCUAUCAAUUCAUGGCAAUGUUAAUCAAUUAUGGUUAGUUAUGAAUUAUAAUAAGAAAUUAAUGAUAUUUAUUGAGACUAGUUCUAUGCACAUCCCCCGAGGGGGGCAAUAAAACAAUAAAGAAAAUUUUGGGUGAAAAUUCAAAAUAAUGAAAAAUUAAAAUUACUUAACUAAUAAUUUUUACUAUUUACCCUUAUCGAUUUAUUUAUUGCCAUGUACUCUAAUUUAUAUGAUUUUUGGUUCUUGUCUUUUUUAUGUUUUGGAAUUUUAGUGAAUACUUAAAUUAAUUAAGUUAAAUUUGUUAUUUCUAAAAUUUUACAUGGCAAACAUGUUUUUUUCCACAUAAUCCUUGCAAAAAAAAAGUCAAUCACUUUAGUUAAUUGAUAAAAUAGUUACGGUUUGAAUCGUGACUAAAAUAUCAAAAUUUAAAAGUUAAGUAUUAAAAAUAAUGAAAUUGGAGAACAUGGUCUAAAUCCAUAAUUUAGGCAUAGUACAAGAUUAAUAGCAUAAUUUGAUUUAACAUAUUUAACUGUCGUUUGGGUUGAGAUUAAAAUUUCAAAAUUCAAAAAGUACAAAGAUUAAAAUUGACCAAAUUAGAGUAUAAGAACAAAAAUUAAUAAAUUAUACAUGAUAUAGGGAGUAGGGACCAAUAAUAAAAUUUGACCUUAUAAAUGAAUAAAAAGUGCUAAUGGUUUUAAAAACUUACUGUGAUAAAAAAAAUGCAUGAGAGAGAAGUUAAAAUUAGGAAAGUUUUCUAGUCUCAUCAUUAGCUAUUGCUAUGUGUUGGUUUUUUCUGUUGAGUUUAAGACUUAUGAAGAUAAAUAUUAAUUACAAAUAAGAUUCCGCUAAAAUAAUCUCAUAAAAAGACUUUACAAAUAUAAUCGUAAAGUUCAAAAUAAAACAAAAAUUUACAAGAUAUAUCUUCAAGUCAAUCUUCAUAAAUCAAGGGAUCCAAUUUAUUUGACCUAGAUCAGUCCAAACUUCAAGGAUUUGUAGCUUCACAAAAUAGAUCUUCAAAUAUGGGUCAACACAUGUUCAUAAUAUUCACUAAGUCAUGACCCAACUGUUUUGGUUUAAAGAUCCGUCGACAUUAAUAAGCCAAGUUAUGUAACUUGUGGGCACUACAUGAGACAUUGCUCACAUAUUGCCUCAACAAUCUCUUCCAACAAGAAUUCUAUAUUUAGAAUAUGAAUCCAUCUUUAUAAAGUACCAUUUAAUCCAUCUUAAUCUGUCUAAAUUUUAUCAAAUCAAUUACCCUUAAUAUAAGAUUACAAAUGAUUGUGGUAAAUCUUCAUAAAAUCAACUCGCGUCUUCUUGGAUUUACAUAUCCAAAUAUAUAAGAUAACUUAAUUUGGACACGAGCAAUAUUACUACUUUAAAAACUUACCUAGACCCAAACACUUGUAUAAACUUAUUUUGUAUGAGAAAUUAUAGAGAAGAUUAAUUAAAUUUUAAUCUAAUUGCUGCAAAAUUUUCAAUUAUUUCAAUGGGAUAAUGCUAAGAAUAUUAUAUGAGAUUUGAGACCCUACAUUAUUGUGAAAUAUCAAAUCAGACCUACAUGACAUUUUUUUUCUUCAUAUAAAUCAAAUUUAAUGUAUAGAAAGUUCUAUUUUGUAUAUUUUAGCUGGAUCACACAUAAAAAAGUACUUUUAAUUCAUUGAAUUUUUUGAAGGGAAAAUCAAAUCAGGUAUAAUUUAAUAUUUCAACAAGCACAAAUAAUUGAUCUUUUGUGUGGUUUUAGAUAAAAGAAAUAAAUUUUAAAUAAAUCGCUUAGAACCAAUUGAAUAGGAUAAAAAAAUUGAUUAAAUUAAUGAUUGAAUUGAAUUUAUACUUUUAUAAUUAUUUUUUAAAAUUUAAAAUUAUUAGUAAUUUAUUUAAUUAAAAUUGAAGUGGUAAUCAAUUUGAUCAAACCGAAAAUCGAUUAUCUGAUGAAUUUAAUCACCAAUCCAAUUCUUAAUGCAUGUUUUUGACUUGGACAGGAAUUUUUCUUUUUAAAUUUAAUAUUGGAAAAUGAUUUUUCUAUGUAUAAUGUUUUUGGCUUAAAUACUCAUUUAGCUUUGGAAUUUAUCAUUUUCUCCCAAUUUGGUAUUUAUGGUAUUUUUGUUCCAAUAUUAAAUAUCAAAACCUUUGAUGGAAUGAAAAUCGAGAUACCAACUUGAAACAGAAAACCAUAAAUACCAACUUAAGAGAAUAUGAUAAAUUCGAGGGUUAAAUGAAUAUUUAAACCAACAUUCACUGAUUCAAGUAUAAACAACUACCCUAUCACAAAUUCAUAGAUUUCAUCCUUCGUUAUAAAACAAAGUUGCUGUGAUAAUUUUAUUUUCAAAAUGAAAUAUAAAAUAAUUAUUAAAUAAACUAAUUAAAAAUAUCAGAAAAUAACAAUUUCCUUUCGGUACUUUCACAGUAUCACUAUAAAUAUACUCGUAUAUAUAUAAAAAAAACUAAUAAUUUUCUUUUAAUUAACCAUAUGAAAUCAAUAAUUAAUUAUUACAUUUUUAGAAAUAAUAAUUUAAUUAAAAUUGACACAUAUAUAUAUAUAUUUAAAACUCAUAUCAAUAAAUUAAAGCUUCUAAGAAAAAAAAAUGAAUGUUAUUAAAAUAAUUAUGAAAAUCUAAUUAAAAAGCUAGCUGCCUCAAAGCUCAUUAAAUGCAUGCAAGGCAAUUGCAGGGUCAGGUAUGCACACGCCCUGAAAAAGAUUGCUCAAACAGUUUCUUACAUGCAGAGACUUUUUUGCCUAAAAUUAUACCCUCAAUCAUUUAACAUCACAGAGACUUUUUUGGCUAAAUUUAUACCCUCAAUCAUUUAACAUCUCCUUUUCUUAUCUGCUAAAUUCGAUUUAGUAAAAAUAAUUAAAAAAUUUGAAUGACAAAAAUAUGAACUUUUAAAACCUAAAUGAUUAUUGGGAAAAAAAUAAUUAACAGAGAAAUUUAUAUUUUAAUAUAAUGAUAAAAUUGUACUUUAAUUCCUCUAGUAAUUCAUAAUUCAUAUCUAACUUUCUUUAAAAUAAUUUUCUAACUUCGUCCAUGCUUCAGCGUAUACAGGGGCAGAAUCACCUUUAAUCCUUUUAUAAUUUUAAAUAAUUUAAAUUAGCAUAUGUAAAAUUACACUUUGCCUCUCAAGAAUGAGAACAAAAUUAGUAUAUAAACUAUUAAGAUGAUGAAAUUUUACUUUUACUAUUAUAAAAAUAUACAAUUUUAUUCCGACCCCUCAAUUUCUCUGGAUUUUGAUUGAUUUCCACUAGUUGCCACUAAAUUGUACUAAUGUAGAGUUGAAUUUUAUUCCAAAAAAGCUACUAAUGGUAUCAAUUCAAUACAAUAUAUAUAUAUAUAUAUAUAUAUAUAUAUAUAUAUAUAUAUAUAAAGUUCAAUGAUUUCGAUAUACCGUUUGCACAAUCAACACGUUUGGUCUAAAUAAUUAUGAAAAACUUGUAAACUCAUCAUUGAAUACAAGUAUCAUUAACAUUAAAAUAUUUAUCUAUUUCUAUUAUUAAAAACUGACAUGAUUAAUAAUAAAAUAACAAAAUAGUUACAAGUGACACACCACGUGUACCUCACUCUAAUGUACAUUAACCAGUUUUUAACAAUAGAAAUGGAUACAAAUUUUAACCGAAGGACUAGUCUGCUGUUUGAUUUAAUGCAUAAAGACUAACUUACCCAAUUUUAAUAGAAGGGACAAAAUAAAAUUUGACUCUCAGUACAAACAAGACUCCUGUUACUUUUACCUAUUGAGAAACAAUGGAAUUGAAAAAGAAAGUUGGAAGUUCAAAUUCAAUGGGAUAGAAACCUUGAAAGGACAGUGGAUAGUUCUCUUUGAUCUAUAUAACAAGUGAUAUAACAAAAACAGUAAUUUAAUUUGAUUAUUAUAAAACCCUGGAAAGAAUCUUACAGUACAAUAAAUAGUUGUUCAAGAAUAUCAACUUGCAAUUCUACUGAGUUGAGUAACUAGCUCCUUAUCUGUAGAGUUUUUCAAAUGUUCGACGAUUUCGUCGACAUACGGAGCUUCUAAGUGAAUCCUUCUUCUAAGCAUUAACCUAGCAAGCUUCACAGCUUCAACUGAAUGGCUUUGCCGACACAAGCCAACCAAAAGAAUAGAAUAGAUGUCAGUGUCGAUGGAUGAAAUGUAUUGAAUCCGCUCGAUUUCAUUGUAUAAGCAAAAACCAUCUAGCACUCGUCCCUCAUGACAGAUCUCCCUAAUCAUGGUACUACAAGCAAUGCCACUAGGUUUAGCCCCACUUACUAACAUUUUCCUAAAGAGCUUCUCUACCUCAUUGAGUCUAUUAAUCCUAAUCAAAGCCAAUACAAGAGAACUGUAGCAAUCACUAUUGGAAACACCACGUCCGGCAACUCUAUCGAUCAACUUAUAUGCUUCUUCGACAUGUCCCUCGGUGCAAAGACCCGUGAUCAAAGUAAUAACAGUUAUACGGUUAGGAACACACUGGCAAGCUUCCAUUCUAUCCAAAAUCCUCAAUGCCUCUAUUGUUUGACCCUUCUCACAAAAGCUUUUAAUCACAGAUGUAUAUGUGAUUACAUUUGGACUACAAUUCCCACCUGCUUUCUCCAUCUCCCCUAAUAAUUCCAAUGCCUUUUCCGUACUCCUGUACUUACAAAUACCCUCGAGAAGCACGGAAUAAGUCACAGCAUUUGGAGAAAACCCUUGCCCCUUCAUAGCCUGAAACAACUCACAAGCCUCCUCCAAUCUACCAGCAUUACAGAACCCCUUGAUCAUUGCAAAAUAAGUCAUCAUAUCGGGAUAAAGAUCAAUCAAGCCAAUCUCUUUCAUCAAUUUAUGAGCCAUAUCCAUAUCCCCUUUCUCACAAAGCAGCCUGAUAACCACAUUAUAAGCAGUAGUAUCCGGACGUAAAUUAAAUUCAGGCAUUUUCCUCAAUAGCAACAAAGCUUCAUCGGCAAUGUUAGCUUCUUUACACAAAUUCAAAACAACCUUAAACAUUUUAAGGUUAACUGAACACUUUUCCAUCCUGUAAGCUUUGAUAACAUCCAAAACAAGAAAUGGGUUUUGCUUAAUUUUCAAAAAUCCAGCAGCUUUGUUGUACAUAUAAGAACUAUACCUACAAUUUGAUUGAAGACCUGCCCAUAUGAAAAACCUUAAACCUAUUUGAGAUAGAGAUAUAUCAAAAGAACAUCUUUUUAACACCUCACAAACACAGUUUGGGUCCAAUUUGGCAUUGACUAAAGCUAAGGUUUUCUCUAUAUUGCUUUGGUUUUUCUCUAAAAGAGUGAAAAAUUUGUCGGCAGAGGAGACCGAUCUGAAUUGAAGAUUGAAAAUUUUGCUUUGUUUAGUGUGAAUUGAAAGUGAAAUCAAUCUAGAGAGAGAAGCAAUUGGCAUUGCUUUGUGGGGGAAUUUAGUGUCUUUGCAAGAGUUGAGGUUGAACAAAACAAUGAGGUAAAAUCUUACGAGAUUGUUUCCGAAUGAAGUUGGAUAAGUUUUGGCAAGAAUGAGGCCAGGUGUACCGAGUUGUUCGAAUGUGGCCCAGUACGGUGGCAUCAACUCAUAGCCAGGCAACCAUAACCUCAUAUAUGGCCCUGCAUUAUAACGAUAGAGCAUUAAGGUAACUCACAAUUAUGUAUGAUUUUCAUUUUAUUAAAAACAUAACAGUAUCAAGCAUAUAUCCGUGUUUGAUGUUCAAAUAUGAGUCCGGUGUGUAAAAGCGGAAACACGACAUUUCCUAAAAAUUAUUACCAUAUUAGCACAAGUCAGUGAUGGCUAAGCUUCUAUUACAUUGAAAGAUUGUUAAAUCGAAACCUGCAGUUUUAACACAUUAACUUCAUCAAAGUGGAAAAGCAAAACCGAAUUUUAUAAAAAUUAUAAUCGGAAACGAAAUUCACUUUGACGGAAACCGGAAUAACAACUGAGUUUAGUCGGUCGGUCCCGUCGGUUAAUCAUACCGAAAAAAUAUCAUGAAAAAAGCUGUUUUUUUUUUUAAUUUACACAAACCAUAAUGAAAGUAAAUUUGUAGUAAAUAAUUGAAUUUCCCAUAAUUGAUCGCAACAAAAAACUCAAUUUACAACCAUAAUUAAUUGGAAAGCUAAUCGAAAGUCAUAAGCUACCUGUUUCAUUUGGCUACUACUUCAAAUGACUACCAUAGAAUUUCGAAAUGGGCCAAAACUAAUUUUAGGGUAAAAGAAAAGUAGGCGAUGAGCAAGACGACAAAGUUGAACAUCAAUAGAUUAAAUAGUUUUAAAAGAAAGAUUGAACAGCUAUAUACAGUAGAUUAAAUGUGGCAAAAGCCAAAAAUAACUUACAGUGGCCGGUGACGAGGCGUUUUCCGAUGAGCAAGGCGGCAACCGAGGUCCGAGAAAGGUUGAAGGCGAUGAGCUGUUACCCACCGGCGUUGGGUUUGCUGGUUCAGUUCAAGGCUGUUCACCAUAGAUUUAGGCUUUUAUUUUUAAUUCGUUUAAAAUUUUUUCUUUUUUAAAUGAAUUAAAAUUUGUAUUUGGGUUUUUUAGUUUUUAGAAUUUGUAUUGGGCUUUAAUUUUUAUAGCUUGGAUCUUGUGUAUAAUGAAUUUAUUUGGGGAUUGGAAAAUGAGUAUGAUAUUUAUAUUUUAAAAAUAUAUAAAAUUAAUAAGUUAUAUUAAUUCGAAUUAGAUUUUAAAAUCGAUUGACUUAAAAUAAUUGAAUUAGUCUCUCAAAUCGAUUUGAAAUUAAAAUUGAUUUAAUUGAAUUAAGUGAAUCAAAUUUAAUCGAUUAAUUCGAUUUUAACCAAGUUUUCAUCAUCUUUAAAUUAAGUGAAAGUAUAUAUGUAAAAAUGUAUACUAUAUUUCAAACACAUAAAAGAGUUGGUAUCACGAGUCAACUGGACGCUAACUUAAGUGAAAAUACCCUUACUUUACAAAGUAAAUUGUAUUAUUUUAAGGAUGUUUUUGUCUUUCUACAUCUUUUAUAUAGAAAAAUGUUUACAUAUAAUAAGACUUUAACUUGUGUAUUUAUAGUUUCAACAUUUAUACUUUACAAUUCAACCAAAGUCUCAUUUACUAUAUUAAUUAAUUAUAAAUAUAUUUAUUAUAUAAUAUUAUGUUUUUCGUCUACGUGGUUGUGUCAUAAUCUAGUAAUAAUAGUAAAUAAAGUUUAUGCAAUUUAGGUUAAGUGAGUCACAGUACACCCAUCUCUUUACGCGCAUUUCGUUUUUAUCCCAAAGCUUUAAACUCACCACGCAGUCCUAGUCGUUCGCCGCAAUGCUUCGCUUUUCUUCAGUGGUUUCUGGCAUUGAUUUUGGUUUCAAUAUGUUCCCCUUAAUCUCCUGUCUACUAUUCUAGGAUUAUAUCCCAACAUCAUUGGUUUUCUCUAAUCUAAACUCAAAGUUUUGGUUGGCGUGCUUUCGGUCUCCCUCGCACACUGUUAACCACAACUCAAAUCUUAUAGUAGUCACUUUGAGCUUUCCAAAUCUAGUUUGACUAAAUUUGGGUCAAUGAAGCAUUUCACCAACGCCAUUCACUGCUCGAUCUUCUCAUGAAGCCAACGACUUGUUCCUUCUGUUCUCAUGAAUUGUAGGUUUUAUGUUUUCCCUAAUUUUUAUUCCUUGUUGGAUUGCAUUGUGUCACGGGUCAAGACUUUAGCUCCGAUCAUGUGUGACUUUAGAUUCGACUAAGUCAGCCUUUAGUCCUCGCUUGGGAGAGAUUUUAGCACACUUAGGGAACUUAGAUAGAACAAGAGAAUGUGGGAGAAUGUGGAAGCAUUCUUAUUAACUCUCAAAGUUAGCUUGUACAAAUGAGGGAUGAGAGCCUCUCCUUAUAUAAGUAAGCCCCAUUCAAUCCAACGGUUACAAUUGAUUACAAUAAAUGGUCAAUAUCACAUUCUAGAACUUUCCCACUUAACUCCAUUAAAUUCUAUACAUGAACGGAUAGUUCUAGAGCUUCCAAAAAUAUUCUACAUGGUUCUAAAGUCUUUCGGGGCACUUCGGGAAUCUUGUGGCUCAAUAGUCUCGUGUUUGCUCGAUUUCGGGCUUGAUAAGGCCUUGCUCACUCACGAAUCAUGACACUUGGAUUAGUUGCCUUGCUUUGUCUCUAUUUUUUUUUCAAUUGCAAAAUAGGAAAUCAAGAAAACUACUAGGUUUGUGCUAGGGAAUUUGCUUCAAGGGUAGGCAUUUCAACCCUUAAGGUUCUUUUGGAAGGGUAAGGAUGAAGGUAAAAGUGGGCUAGACUGUGUUAACCAAAGGUUUCAAAGAAUUUGACAUUCAAGAUUGUUAUAUUGCUACCUCGGCUUGGGCAUGUGGUAACAUGAGAAGCGAUUGAGGAAACACACAUGGAUGGCCUUCCACCUUAUAUCGUCCAUAUGAUUUCUCAAUGACCAAUCACCUGCAUGCUUCGUACUACCCAGGGGAAAGAUCAUCUAUCCUUAACCACUCGAUUGGACCCUUCGUUAGGCCACCCGCUAUUAGCUAGUGCACUCUCCUCAAGAGGAGACCUUCGAGUGGUGUAAUUGGACAGGAGACCUCCUACCUAUAAAUACCACAAGAUACAACAUAAAAGGGAUCUUCUUCUUCCUUCUCAUAAACCCUAAAUAACAUACUAAGCCCUUAGCCUCCUCUUAUUCCCUCACUUUUCCAACUCUUCACUUGUUUAGAUUAACCAACCUCCUUCGCUCCACCACCUUCUCCACCAUAUUUCCUCAUUUGUUGAUAUAUUGUAUCAACAAAUAUAUUUAAAAUAAAUAAAAUAUAUAAAUAUAUGAAGUUUGUUAAGUUGAUUGGUUCAAUUAUGAAUAUUAAUAACCUUAAACUGACUAACUUAAUCAAAAGCAUGUGCCAACUAAUUUAAUAAAAUACACAAACCCAAUAUUGGUUUAACCGAAUGAACCAAUUAAAUCAAUAAUAUUCGAUUUUUGCUUACCCUAUGCAUCCAAAGAGAAAAGAAAAUUGAUUUUCAUCCAAUUUUUUUAUUCGCUCUGCCUACCAUGCGGUGAAGGUUGAGCUAUAGAAAGAAAAAAAAAAACCCAUGCCCUUUCCAAUUUCAAAAUCGAAAUUUUUUCAAUCAAAGUAUCAUAAAAGCUCAUGUAGUAAAGUUAAAUUGUGUUUUGUCCAUUUUACUUAAAAAUUAAAAAAUUAGUCUCUAUAUAUUAGGGCAAGGAACAAAUUGGUCCUUUUAGCUAAAAAGUUCAUCAAUUUUUAACAAUAGAAAUGGAUAAAAUUUUUAACAGUGGAUAAAAUUUUUAACAGAGGACUAAUUGACUCUUUAAUCUAAUAUAGAUUAAUUUGGUUCUACUACAGGGUCAUCCACGAUACAUUUACCAAAAAUUUUCUCAUAUCACAUAAGUUUCUUUUUGGUUUAUAUCACAAGUGUCCUUAUUCGAUAUGAGAUUAGUUUCGCUCGGGUUAAGAAUGGAUUCGAGUAAAGCCCUCUCAAUAAUGAGAAUUCUAAAAAUCGAACUUAACCUAAAUUACCGACGGAAAAAUCCACUCUUUCCAAGCACUUGUUAAUACGGUUUAACAAUAUAUUUAGACAAAAAUAAUAAUAAUUGAAAUAAUCUACAUUCUUCUUAUGAUACAUCAGUGAUUUCAUAUCCGUUUUGUAAGAACCGGUUGGCGUUUAUGGUGUUUGGUUGCUGUUUUUUGUUCCAUAGUUGUCUUCUUUCUUUGUAUAUGUACUGAAUUACGGCUUUUUCCUCUUCUCAAAUGCUCCUUUCAAUACUGUCAUCCCACCCUAUCUUUCAAAUUCUAUUGCCUUUCUUUCUCUAUCUUCUAUUAUAUAUAGUAACUUGUCUCUGUUUCCCAAAUCUUUGUUGGCCAUUGUAGCUUAAACAAAAGCUCAACACCCGAGGUUUUAAGAAAAAAGGUUUGUUUUCCUUUUCUGCCUUCUCUUUUUUCCUUUUUGUCAUUCGCUUCUGCAUUAACUUACUUGUCCUUCGAUCGUUACAUCAUUUCAACAGACUGCGAUAUAUCGCCCGCCCUUAUAAUAUUAUUACCACUCUCCUCUUCCGUUAUAAAAAGUAUCCAAAUUUUGCCAUCGUUUUCUUCAUCAAAAUGAGCCAUAGUUUCAUAUUUUCCCUUCUUUUUCUCUUGAUUUUAAGCUCAACCCAACUGAGAUACAAAGCUGAAGGUAACUUUUAAUCAUCUUUUUCAUUAGGCAAUUUUUUCUUGCUUGCUUACUUUUGUUUCUGCAGGUAGAUCAAUACCAAAAUCCGAUGAAGAAAAGGCGAGGUUAAGAGCACAGAUAGGAUCAAGGCCACCAAGGUGUGAGAGAAGGUGCAAUUCAUGCGACCAUUGUGAAGCCAUUCAAGUGCCUACCAAUCCUCAAAUCUCCCAUGUUGCUUAUGCAAGAGGUGAUGGAAGCUCUAACUACAAACCCAUGAGUUGGAAAUGCAAAUGUGGCAACUUCAUCUUCAACCCUUAGCUCAUAAAUACAUAUAUAUUUUAGGUUCUUAAAUACCCAUUUUUGAACCAUGUAAGUAUUUUUUUUUUUUUUUUGCUUGUGAGAACAUAUUAGAAUUCCGUUGUGAAAUUUCUUGAUUAUCUGAAUCUUUAAAAAGAAAAUGAAUCUAUAGUACUUGCUGUUGCUGUGGGGCGUGUAUUUGUACUGGUAUNNNNNNNNNNNNNNNNNNNNNNNNNNNNNNNNNNNNNNNNNNNNNNNNNNNNNNNNNNNNNNNNNNNNNNNNNNNNNNNNNNNNNNNNNNNNNNNNNNNNACGUACUAAGAUACGAUUUCUUGGGCAAAUCGUUAUGACGUUGGGAGGAAGGGGGGUCUAGAAAUUAGUGUAAAGUAUUUACUUAAAAAGUAGACAAUGAUUUUUGAGUUGGUAUAGUUUCACCAUACACGCCAUCGUGUCUGGUUUUGGUGUCAACUAUUGUCGAAAAAUGCGAUAGGAAUUGAAGUGAUCAGAGAGGGUAAAGGAAAAAGCUUAAACUGUUCUUUUAAUGGCAGAUUCCAGUUGUGUUUUCUUCUUAUUGUCUCUCUUCGUUGCUUACUUGGCGUGUAAGGAAUUACAUAGUAACGAUUCCGUUUUCCUUGAAAACUUACUUGAACAGUCAGCUCGCCUGGUUUCAUUAACAUGACAAAACAUACAUGGGUCUAAAACCAAAACAACUUUUAGGAUUUAAUCUAAUUGUCUGAAUUGAUUAUCAAGAUUGCUCCGUUGGCUUAUUUCAUUGUUUCAUAAUGAUUAAUUCGAUUUUUUAAGUAUUUAAAUUAGAUUAAGUGCAAUUUUCAGUAAAAUAAACCAAUCCAUUUAAUCAACUUUUCUAUUUUUUAAAUAUGUUUAUAAUAUAUAAUUUUUUUGGGUAAAUAAAGGUAGUGGACACUAUUAUAAAUAACAAUCCCUCUAAAUCAUAUUACGCAUAUAGACUCUAGAAAUGAAAAUAACGUUUCAUCUCUGAGUAAGGGUAUUAAUAGUCUUGUUGAUAUAACUUCUUUUUAUUUUGGUAAAUUAUAUAGUAAAGUCAGUUCUGUAGAAGAAAAAGUAAAUAACUUAGGUAAUAUAAAAGAUUUAGACUUAAACCAUGAGUCUAAAGAAAUAUUAACUAAUGUUAAUAAUAAAUUAGAUCAAGUUUUUAAUAAUAAUAAUAUAGAGUCCGAUGUAAAUUUAGGUCCUUUAUAUUAUGGUAAUGGUCAAGAUCAUAUUUUUGUUUUAUCUGAUGAAGAAAACACUUCAUCUGAUGAGUCGUCAUCUAUGUUAAAAAAUUAUAAAAAACAUAAAAAACGUAAAAAAGUUGAUAAACAAAAAGAAUAUGAUUUCCAAUCCUAUAAAACACUUAUAGAACAUUGGAAAGAAAAAUUUGCUACUACUAAUGAUCAACUUGAAAGAGUUGAAUAUUUAAAACUAAUAGAAGAACUUUAUGAAAAACAUAAAGAUCUUUUUAGUAUGUUUAAUUAUCAUUAUAUGUUAAAAUAUGAUGAUACAAGUAGUGGUUCGAGUAAUUCUGAAAACACAUAAUUAUUCAAAAAUCAAUCUGGUGAAGAAAAAACUUCAACAGAUCAGGAAAUAAAAAAUAGAAACUUAUCUGAUGAAGAAAAAACUUCAACAGACCAGGAUGAAGACAUAAAAGUCUCAACCUAUACUUCUGAUGAAGAAACCACUUCAUCUGAAGAAGAAAAUAUAGACAUUCCUGAACCCAUGGAUACUGAACCACCAGAUCCUCGUGGAAAAAGGAAGUUAGAAUCUGAUGGUCUAACAGAUGACUAUCUUAGAUUUUCUAACAAAGAUUAUGAAUUAGAUAAUGGAAAAUUUAGAAUCUUUGGUAACAAAUCCGAAGAUAUAGCUACUAAUGAUGUUAAACCUGAACAUUUAGGAGAAACAUCUAGUCAACCUGUUCAACAAAGAAUAGAUGACUUAAAUAAAAGAAAUGUUGCUCAAGGAGGAAUAUAUUUAGAUUUGACUAAUAUUUCUAUUCCAGACUAUGAAAAAACCAUAGAAAAUUGGGCACAGUCAAUGACGAUUGUUGUAAACAACAACACAUNNNNNNNNNNNNNNNNNNNNNNNNNNNNNNNNNNNNNNNNNNNNNNNNNNNNNNNNNNNNNNNNNNNNNNNNNNNNNNNNNNNNNNNNNNNNNNNNNNNNNNNNNNNNNNNNNNNNNNNNNNNNNNNNNNNNNNNNNNNNNNNNNNNNNNNNNNNNNNNNNNNNNNNNNNNNNNNNNNNNNNNNNNNNNNNNNNNAAAAAGAUCAAGAUAGUGUUGCUAGCUAUACUCUUUCAAAAAUUAAAUUAUGUGAUAUUAGAUAUUUGGAUGAAUUUUCUAAAAAAUUUCUUCAUGAAUAUCAGAAAUUAAAAAAUGAAAAUAUAGAGUUUUGGAAAAACCAAUACUUUCAUAAAUUAACCCCACCUUGGGAUGAGAUAUGUAUAAACAAAUAUGUAUCUUAUUUAGAAAAGCAAAGUAAAACAUCUGGGCUUUCUUAUGAAAAUUUAGAUUCUAUAGGAAAUAGAAUUUAUUUUGCAAGAGAAAGAAUAACUUUGCACUGCUUGCAAACUAAAGCGGCUAAACAAGUCAAAAAUAAAUUAGGUUAUAAAUAUUGUUCUAAAAUAUUAGAAAAUGAAUGGGAAUUUGGGUGUAAACAAAUAUAUCCUAAAACCUAUAAAAAACGUAAAAAAAUAUAAAUUUAGAAAAUGGAAACCAGGUAAUAAAAAAAUUUCUGGUCAAAGUCAAAAAGUGGUAAGGAAAAAGAAUUCCAACCAAAAGAAACAAAUAUGUAAAUGUUUUAUUUGUGAUGAAGAAGGUCAUCUAGCUAACAAAUGUCCUAAUAAAGGGAAAAAUGCUAGGAAAAUGAUCAAAAAUCUUGAAGAACAAGAUUUAGAAAUAUGUUUCAUACAGGAAACAAAUCCUAAUGAAAUAUUAUAUGAAUUAAUAUCAGAAACAGAUUCUGAUGAAGAAUAUAUUUUUAUGUUUAAUAUAGGAAAUAAUUCUAAAAAUCAAUUAGAAGAAAUUCCUAAUUCUGAACAACAGAAUAUUAAAUUAGGAAGUCUAAUCGGAGAAGAAAAAGACUUUUCUGAUGAAAUGAUAGAGAAGAUUAACAAAAAUCAUAUCUCUAAAGAAGAAAUUUAUAAAAUCUCUAAGUUCAAAAUCUGGACACAGAGACACAUAGAAAAAAUUAGCGGUAAUACAGUCGCUAAAGAUACAAGAGGAGGAUUAACAGAAAUCCCACUCUUUACUAAAGAAAAAAUUAAGAGGAUUAGAAAGAAAUAUCCUCAAGUUAGAUAUAUUCAUUUAGGUAUAAUCAUGAUUACUAUAAGAGCCUUAUUUAGGAGAGGUCAUGGUAUUCCUAUUAUAGCAGUACUUUUAGAUAAAAGAUUUGAAAAUCCAAUAAAAUCACUUAUUGGAGGAAUUCAGUCUAAUUUACAUAUGGGCGUAAUAGGAUUUAAAGUUAAACCCAAUUACUUUAUUUCCAUUACAGAUCCUCUAAUAGAAGAGUGUCUUUGCCUUAGAAUUCAGACAAAAAAUUCUGAUAUUAAUGAUUUAGCAGAAGAUCUAGCAAUCAGUUGGACUUCUAUUAAUGAAUAUACAAAUACUGCUGAAGUAGAAAUAAAAGAGAUUAAUAACAAAAUUAUUGAACUCUUUGAACCAAACCGGUUCACUACUGAAAUUCAGCCUAGAUUAUUAGAUAUAAGAGAUCUGUCAAUUCCAAGAGAUUGGAUGAUAGAUAAAAUUAGUAAUGCAAGUACUUCUAAACCAGUAAGUACUAUAGAAUACAUGUCAUCUGGAAACAAAUUAUAUUUUAAAAAUAAUUGUAUAACCAAUACAAAUGAAAAUUUAGUUUUACCCUCUAGUUCUCAACCGGAAGAAGAAGAGGAUAAUAUUAGUACAAACAGUACACCAAUAGGAAUUAAAACUAUACAAAUUCCUAUAUUUCCUACUGAACCCAGUAUUAAUUCUAGAAAAACUAGAAUGGAAGAAAUACAGGUUUCAACGAUUGAUAAAAAGUCAAAAGUUGGAAUAAUUAUAAGAAUUACAUUCCAGUUUAGUAAAUAUAAACCAUAUUCUCUAAACGCUAUGAUAGAUACUGGAGCUACAAUCUGUAGUUGCAGAAUGAAUGCGAUCCCUGCAGAAAAAUGAGAAUUAAUUAGAAAACCUAUAAUAAUAAAAGGUAUAGAUGGUAAUAAAACCAUUAUUAAUUAUAAAGCAAAAAAUAUACCAAUCUACAUAAACAAUGUUAGAUUUGUAAUUCCUAAAAUUGUAUGUUUUCCUAGUAUGCAAACAGAUAUAUUAUUAGGAAAUAAUUUUAUACUUAGACAUUUACCUUUUACUAUUAACAAAAAUAGUAUUUGGUUAUCAAAAGAAAAAGAUUUUAUAAAAAUACCAAUUGAAGAAGAUAAUAAAAUUGUGUGUAAUAAAAAUUUUACACCAGUUAAAAUUAAUUAGCCAAUACUUGCAAUUUAUUACUAAUACUUGCUGAUUUUUUAAGCAGGCCUUAUGGAUAGAGGUAAAAAACCUCUACAUCAAGCAAUAGUUGGUGAAUGGACAACCGUUCACAAAAAACCCAUCAAAGGGAAAGCAGAAUCAACAUCCAAAAAAGGAUUUGUACCUGCACAACAAACACCAUUUUAUCCUAACCAAGGAUAUUAUGUGUCUUAUCCAAUGGUAAACCAACCACUUGGAUCAAAUGUUUUAAAUUACCCAAUGGUAAAUCAACCAAUGGGAAAUACUUUUUCAUUGACCCCAAACACGGUGAGUCAAUUACAAUGGUCCCAAAAUCCGAAUUCAGUAUCACAAACAAGUUAUGCUGAAGUCAUUAAGGGAGCAGAGAAUUUGUUGAAUCAACAAUAAAUUCAAGAAUUAAAAGAUCUUUCAAAAAUUAAAGAUUUUUAUAAUCCUGGUUUAUUACCAGAAAUUUAUAAUUUUAUAAAUGAAAUAUGGAAAACCCAUGUUUCACAACAAAGAGCCAGUUUCCGUGGAGCUCUUACCAGAUUUUCAUUAUUUUUAGUUGAAAAAACAACUAAAGAGAAUGAAGCUGAAGAUUUAUUACUAAAAUCUAUUUUAUAUAGAGAAUGGGAUGAAUUCCAGCUAGAAUUCAUUGAUAUUAAGGAGAUAAACAAUCUUCUUGAUAUUAUUCAAUAUUUUAUUCAUAAAGGGAAAAACAAUUCUAUUAUGAAUAAAGUAUUUAGAAUAUGUAUGUAUAAUAAAGCUAGGAAAUUAUUACCAGUAGAAAUAUUCAAAAAAAUAAAUAAAGUAAUUUGCAGACAGCAAAACCAGUUUCAAAAAGCUUUUUCAGAAUAUUUUCUACANNNNNNNNNNNNNNNNNNNNNNNNNNNNNNNNNNNNNNNNNNNNNNNNNNNNNNNNNNNNNNNNNNNNNNNNNNNNNNNNNNNNNNNNNNNNNNNNNNNNAUUUAAUAUAACCAAUAUUGAAUGGAGUUUUACUAAAGAAAUAGUUGUGCAAAAUCUUUCUUUUCAUCUUUUAAAAGAUUUUCCAGCUAUUGUAAAAUCUGUUUUACAAAACAUCAUAAACAAUGAUGAUUUUUAUUACUAUUUUCAUAUUGAUAUUAGUAGUCUAAUUGGUAUAGCUGAACAAGAAAAAUUCUAUCAGCCGUAUCAAAUUUGGAUUAUUAAAAGGAUGAUUGGAACACCCCAAUUAUCUGCUGUAAAUGAAGAUAAAGAACAUUUGUCAAAAACAAUUGAUAAAUGUUAUAAUAAGUUUGAAGAUUAUCAAGUCCAAACAUGAUUAGAUUUAUUAUCACAAGCCCAUUAUCUUCUCUAUGAUGAAGUCUACAAACUCUGGACGGAUGGAAGAAGAAUUUUGACAUUUCCAAAUGGAAACAUCCAGGAGGAAAGAAAUGAAGAAUCUGUGAAGCUAUUAAAAAAGAUUGUUGAAAUGGAGAUAGAAGAAUUUCCAUCUCACAUUACAGAAAAAAUCAAAUACACAUGGGAGAUGUGGAACUCACCACCAAGACUCUCAUCAGAUUCUUUACAUUUGGAUGAGAUCGAAGAAAUGAAUCUCAACAACAUGCAAGAAGGUUGAAGUCAACAAAGACAGCAACUUGAUAAGAAGGAAAUCCACAUACCGACAACAAAGUUUGGCAACGUGGAUGUCAUCAUCAAACCCAUGAUGGAGACAAAAGAAGACAAUCCAUAUGCAGACAAACAAGUCUUGCAACGUGGAAGUUAUCAUCAAACCAAUGAUGAUGUAAGCAAUGAUGGAAGCUACCAUGACACAAGCAAGUGAUGGAAGCAGCCAUUAAUACAAGCAUGCAACGUGGAAACAACCAGGUCCAUGCAAUUAAAGUUACAAAAGAUGGAGACGUGGAAGCAACCACAUCCACAAAGUAGCCGAAUCCUUAUCAGAAACACUGUUCGGGAUUCAAAAUACAAUUGUAUAGAAUUUUUUAAUUUUCCUCUAUAAAUAGGGAGGAAAGCUCAAUUGUAUAGCAUCUUGUAAAUUCCGCAUUAUCUUUCUUUUAGUUUUCUCUCUUCUGUAAACAUUUUCCUUUUGUAAUAAAGAGUCUAUAAAUAGGGAGGAAAGCUCAAUUGUAUAGCAUCUUGUAAAUUCCGCAUUAUCUUUCUUUUAUUGCUAUUUUUAUAUCUCUUACAAUCAUAUUUGGAAGGAAAUAUCAAGAAGAAAAUCAGCUCAAUUUACUUAACCCGCCUAAGAAUUAAUGUUGAGCUUAGAUAAAUUAAGAACUAAAUUAAUCUUACAAAGUUAAUGAAUUAUGAAUACGAGUUGAAUAGUUUAAGGUAUGUUAGACAUUAUUUUUAGGAAUAUUUAUUUAUAUUUUAUAAGAUUUAACAAGUUUUUCUAUCAAUAUAUGACACUCGGAAUAAAUAUUUGAGUCCAAUUCUUAAGCAUGCAAAUUCAUCAUCUAAACUCCUAAUGAUGUACAAUGACUUGUAAAUAAGGGUGUCAAAGUUUUCUUUAAGUAACAAUUAAUCUACCUAUGAGAUUAGCUAGUUAAAUCGAUUUGUUUUCAUUUUUCAACUAGAAAGAUAAAGGUCUUUGUCACCUUAAAAAUGAAAAUUUGUGAUUUAAUCCCUCUGUAAAUGAUAAAUUAUAAAUUAAUAUAUGAUAAAAUUACAUUUUAAAUUUAAAAUGAAAAAAGAUCUAUUUAAUUCCUUUAAAAAUGAUGAAAUCUUAAGUUAAUACAUUAUAAAAAUUUAUAUUAACCUCUAAAAAAAUUAUAAUUCGAUUCUAACACCUAAUAAGUUUAACUAGAUAUGACCAUAUAUACCCCAACCAUUAAAUUGAUCUUUCACAAAUUCUCGUAGAUAAAAUAAUAUUGCAGAAACCAUAUUAACCAAUUAUUAUAAACACAAAUCAAGCAAAAGGAGUAGCUUAAGUUAAGACCCAUCAAAAACAACGUUUUGGAUCCAAUAGAGAGGAGUAAAAAUCCUCAACAAAAUAUACUAAAGAAAAAAUAAACAAUAGAGAGCUGUUUCUAUACAAGAGGAAAUGAAAAGACACAAGAGAGAAAAAAAAAAAAAAAGGAACCAAUCAAUCAUGGUGAUGAUGAAGAAGAGCUGAGGAUAAGAGUUGAUGGGAUAUUUCAUUAUCGUAUUGUAUGAUUAUUUUUUCCAUCUAUGGGUUUUUUUUUUUUUUAAAAAAACUUUGUUUUACGAAGUGAAAUUCGCUAUACUACAAAAUUCAUGCAUAGAUCUUUCACGUAGACAUGACUAAACAAAGGGUUUUCCUUGCAUAUAGGUACGAUUUUCGUUGUUUUUUUUGGGGGGAGGGCGGGGGGUUAAAAUCAAUCAUAUAAACAGUGGGAGCAAAGGAAAAUAUACUGAAUGACAGUAGCUAAUGGAUAGGCAGACAAGGUGCUGUUGCAGCAAACAAGUAAUGGGGUCAAUACCUAUAUGGGUGCUCUUUGUUGGCUCAAGUUUGGACAGUAAACAUAUACGUUUGUACAUGUAAAUUUUGGAAAUCUAUUAUUCUAUUUUUAGGUCAAUUGUAGCAUACAUCUACAAUAUUGAAUUGGUUUUCAAUUAUAUUUGAGUUUUUUUUUUUAAUUACAAGAGGAGGGCAAAGUCCUAACAGGAACACGUUUUGAACUCAGGCCAUGCUUGAGGUGAUGAACACUCUGAUCAUCAGGCCAACACACGGGAUAAGUUUUGAUGUUGAAUGUUAAUUUGAAUUUAACAUGAAUUAUAGGGUUUGAAUUUUGAUUAAUGAGGAGUCAACAAUGGGUAUUAAUAAUUGAUCUCUUAUGUUGUUGUGAUUCAUAUAUUUUAAAUAUGCUUCACAUUAAAUCAAAACUAAUAUUUAAUGACUGAGCUAACGAAAUGGCUUACUUGAUGUGAUCCUAAUAUUUUAAAGAUUCAAUUAAAACUUUUUACAAUUUAUGAACUAAUUUAAAAUAUGGAUCGCUAAUGUCUUCAUUAGAUGGAGAUAGAGUUCUAAGCUUCAGGUUUAUAAUAGAGUUUAUGUUCUGGGAUGAUCUCCGAUGUUUAAGUCAAUGGAAGAAUGACGAAGAAAGUUUGAAAUAAUGUUGUUAAGUGUAUAUGUAGUGGUAAACAUGUUUCUUCUUUAUCCUUGAGCCCCUAGCUGUGUCUAUAGUCAUUGUUCUUGAAGACAAACGAAGAUUAUAUUUAACUCUUUGUUGAAGAUUAUAAUUAGUUGAAGUAUGCGUCCUUAAUUCGAUAAGAUUAUAUUUUUAACUCUUUGUUGGGUACAUGCAACUUAGUCAUCACAUCGCACAUAUAUAUGCACUUGAGAGAUAUGGGGCCUUCCAAGCUAUUGUUUGUGAGAGCUCGAGGCUUUAGCUCUCGACUAAUAAAACUAAAGUUAUAAUUUGAGGAUCACCGAUGAAUUAAUCAUUUACUUUUUUCAAAUUUAUUAAAAUAUUAUUUUAUAAAAUAAUUAUUUCCAUCCAUUAUAUAUUGAUUUAAAUCAUGAGUUAAUGUCACCUUUGACCCAUAAACAAUGAUAAUCACACGAUUAAUUGUGAUAAUUACUUCUAUAAUUGUGAUGUAUAAACAUAAUGUGAUAUUCUUUAUGGCAAUUUAAAUUCCUAAGAUGAAGUGACAAAUGACAUAUUUCCAUAACAUAGAGAAAAAUACUGACGAUACAAUAUGCAAAUUCCAGUGGCAAACUUUGCAUCAAUUAUUAUAUGACUAUAUUUUUGGUACAAAUAUAAUUUAUAUUACAUUUUAAAAAAUUCACAGAAAUCCAAUUCUCAAUAUACGAUAAUGGUUUUUUUUUUUUUUAAAACCUAGAUUAUUCACUACAUGUAGUAAGGCUUAAUUUUUUUUACAGUAAAUAUUCUCCGAAUAAGUAAAUGAAUAAUCAUAAAAAUUGUGACGCUUUUAUUCCUUUAUUUAAUUAAAAUGGUAAUAUAAAUUUAGAUUAAGGAAUAACUUAUAAGGAUGAUCUUAAAAAUUAAGGUUUUUAGGUAUAAAUCAAAUUUUGUCAUAUCAUCAAAUUUUAAUAUUAUAUACACUCAUCUAUAGAACAAUUAUUUUAUGGACCAUUCUCAGUACCACAUUAUUCAUGGUCCAUUUUCAUUUAUUUAAUAACAUUUUAACAAUUUUUUCCAUGUCAUUGACACAUAAUUUUGGUAAUUUUUUACGUUGAAUCUAGAUUCUCGAACCCUAAACUCAAAACCUAGAACCUCAAAUCCUAAACUCGUAGCCCGUAACCUCAAACCUAAACCUUGAAUCUUGAGAUUUGGGGUUUAAGGUUUAAGGUUCAGGAUUCGAGUUAAGGUAAAAUAAUUUUCAAAAUUAUGUGUCAAUGACAUGGAAAAAAAUUACACAAAAAUUAUUAUUUUUUAAAAAAAUGGUUGCACAAAAAUAAAAAAUGUUAACUUAUGGAAAAAAUGAUUAAAUUUUGUAAAAAAAAUGUUUGUUUAUAAUUUAAAAAAUUAAUUAUUUUAAGUAAUUUAAUUAAAGUUAAAUUAAGUUGGAGAAGAUAUGGGAUAUAGAUAGUGUAUUACAAUAUUUUGUUAUCUUUAAAAUUUAAUGACGUGGUACUAUUUUAUUGGUGCCUAAAAACUAUGCUUUUUAGAAUAAUCCUAAUAUGAUUUAUCCCCGGUACAAUAUCAUAAACAAUAUAUGUAUGAUUAAUAAGUACAGUUACAGUUAUAACCCUAGUAUAAUUACAAUACAAAUUACAAAUAAUAUAUAACCAAUCAAUUUAAUGUAAAAUAUAAUAGACUAAAACCUAAAAUAUUAUCUAGAUUUAAACGAGAAUAAAUAUUAACAAAAUCUAGACAUAAUAAACUUAAAUCCAAAAUAAUCUAAAAAAAAAUCCGUAUCUCAAUUUCUACCAUAGUAUAAAAACUUUAUUAGGUUUUAAAAAAUUAAAUCAAUUAAUUUGCUAUUACUUAAAUAAGUUGAUUAUAUUAGUGUAAUGUAGUUUAGAUGUUGUCCAAUUAAUUAUGAAAGAACAAAUGUAACUUAGGAAAAAUUGUAAGUUUUGAAAAUCUUUGAGAUAUAUUCUCGAUUGGUAAAGGUGGAGAGUUGAAUCAUAAAACUAUGAUUUUAUAUUCUACUCCAUGAGGCCUUUACAACAGUAUAUCAUAUGCUCAAAAUGGUUGAGUGAUGAGAGAAAUUGAUAUUCAAAGCAAGCUACUUGUGAAUAUUUGUUGAGGAAAAGGAAAGCUUGGAUUCCACAUUGGUUAAAUACCAAGUUAAUAUGUGUGUAUAUAUGAGAAUCCACUUGAAAGGUGAUUGAAUGAUUAAACUUGAAACUUUACCUUGCGCGUAAAAAGGGUGCAAAUCUAAACACAUCGGAGUUAGGAUACAUCUGCACGACGUGGGCGACACAAAAUGUCCGAACUGAUCAAGCUAAUAUUGGGUUUUCGAAUAUUUUAGUUCAACAUGAAAUUUAUUUUUCUAAGCAAAUAUAUACAAAAUAUGAUUUAAAAUGACAAAUAUCCUAAUUUUAUUUGAUUUGAUUCCAAUCAAAUUGAUUUAAUUUCUCCUUUAAUACAUAUUUUGAUCUUUAUUUAUGGAUAUUUCCAAAAUUCCUCCAUAUUGAAUGCCUAUAAAAAUCUAAGAAUUCUUUAGAAUUUUUUGGACACACUCUCUCUCACACCAAGUUUAUUUUGCUCUCCAGAAUUCUUCUUUUUUCCUCUCCAUAUUUUCCAAUGUUUUCAGUGAUAGAAGAAGGCAAUGUUUGUUCAUUGAUCACCACCGAGGUACUACUGCUUUGAUCAUCGUCACUACACCAGAACAGGUUUUUAGUAGCGUUUUUUUAGGCCUUUAGCGGCGCUUUUUAACGCCACUAAAGGCAUUUGCGGCGCUUGAAGAAGCGCCACAAAAAAUGCCGCUAACGACAACGUCGCUAACUUUUGCGGCGCUUACAGAAAAAAAACGCCGCUAAAGAUCAUGUUCUUUAGCGGCGCUAAGGAAAAAAACGCCGCUAAAGAUCAUGAUCUUUAGCGGCGCUUACGAAAAAACGCCGCUAAAGAUCAUGUUCUUUAGUGGCGCUUGGGAAAAAACGCCGCUAAAGAUCAUGUUCUUUAGCGGCGCUUAGGAAGAAAACGCCGCUAAAAAUAAUGUUCUAUAGUGGCGCUUUGUCAAAAACGCCGCUAACAGUAGUGCUCUUUAGCAGCGCUUAUUUCACAAACACCACUAUUUGAUAUGACUUUUAGCGGCGCUUUUUUAAAAAACGCCACUAAUUUUGGGAUUUUUUUAAAAUAAAAUUUUCUGUUUUUUUCAGCCCUCCUGCAACAAAAAAUCAAAAGCAACCAGAUCUAAAUUAACCAAAAACAAUAAAUUUAUAUAAUAUUUCAAAUUAAAUGACUAAAAUAAUAUUAAUUGAUAUAAAUAAAAGUGAAUUCAUACUUUUCUUUUCAAAAACGUUAAAAGUUAAAAUGAUAAAAAUAUUUAUGCAAUAUACACUAUGACGGCGGAAGUUGCGACUGCUGAAACAUCUUCAUCAUAAUCUGAAGCUGCUGUUGAAGUUCGUCGUACUUUUUGCUCUGCUCUGCUUCUCUUGAUGCCGCAUCUUUUUGAAGUCGUAGCUGUAGUUCUUCAUAUUUCUUUUGAACCUCUGCUUCUACCGCUGUUUCUCUCGCUGCUUCUCUCGCUGUAACCUCUGCUUCCCUCGCUGCCGCCACUGCUUUAAGUUGUUGCUAAAGUUCUUUAUAUUUCCUUUGAACCUCAAAUGUGGUCGCUUGCAUCUGAGCCAUCUGGUCUUUUAACCUCUGAACUUCAGCUUGAGAUUGACUCCCCGAAGCCAUGUAUUGGUGCGAGCUGGAUCCAAAAUAUUAGGUUGGGCUGAUAAAAGAUCCUUGAAAUCGAACCCGACCAUACUUUUUAGGACCCAAAACUUCAGUAAUGAUCCGGUUAUCAAUGUCUUCAAGAUGAACAGAACUAUCACUAGAAGCAAUCGCUUCGUACUCCGUCUUUUUUUCCUUUAGUUUUUCCUAAUAAAUAAAUCACAUAGUUAGGAACGCAAUAUAUAUUAAAAAAACAAAUGCAAUAUAACAAUAGUCGCAUUACAAGCAAUAAAUUAAACCAUUAUAAAAUAAGCACUAUAAAUAACUAAAACAAGUUAAAUCGUAUUAAGUAAACGUACCAUAAUUUCACCAGCUUCAGGAGUCAUAACAGAUCCAUCUUUCUUCUUAUGUGUAAUUUCAAAAAGUUGAAGGCNNNNNNNNNNNNNNNNNNNNNNNNNNNNNNNNNNNNNNNNNNNNNNNNNNNNNNNNNNNNNNNNNNNNNNNNNNNNNNNNNNNNNNNNNNNNNNNNNNNNNNNNNNNNNNNNNNNNNNNNNNNNNNNNNNNNNNNNNNNNNNNNNNNNNNNNNNNNNNNNNNNNNNNNNNNNNNNNNNNNNNNNNNNNNNNNNNNNNNNNNNNNNNNNNNNNNNNNNNNNNNNNNNNNNNNNNNNNNNNNNNNNNNNNNNNNNNNNNNNNNNNNNNNNNNNNNNNNNNNNNNNNNNNNNNNNNNNNNNNNNNNNNNNNNNNNNNNNNNNNNNNNNNNNNNNNNNNNNNNNNNNNNNNNNNNNNNNNNNNNNNNNNNNNNNNNNNNNNNNNNNNNNNNNUUCUUCAAAGUACUUUUAUUGUCUCUCCAUCUUUUUCCCAAUGCCUUCUUUACAUAAGCAUCCGAGACCUCUAAAGCAAACCUCGCCUACAAAAAACACAAGUUAAUAAAGUACAUAUAAAUGAAACUAUUUCCCAAGCAUUACAGAUGACAUUAAUAAAAUUUGUUACCUUAAUAUUAUCGAGGGCUUGGUUUUUGUUGCUAUCGGGCAUUUGACGCCAUGACUCGUAGUUGAUAGGCAACAUAUUCGCAUUUCGUGCUAAAAUGCCCAUGUAUCCUGCUAAAAGUCGAGCUUCUGAUCCAACAGGCUGACCAAAACUGUUUCUGCAUACCUUGACACGCUCGACUAGAUCUAACUCGUAUAACUCUCUAAGUAGCGUACGUCCUCGACCUCUGCGCGUCCCACCAUUUUCAGCUACAAAUGGUAUAUUAUAAAAUAAAAAUUUGAAGAAUAAAUCAAUUAUAAGUCAACACGCAUGUAAAUUAAAUGUAAAAUUACUUUGAACUUCCGUAGGAUCCUCAGGUGUAAUCGGAACAUUCGGAGAUCCAAUUGCUGUCCGUUGUUCAGUACUAUUUGUUUCUGUCGNNNNNNNNNNNNNNNNNNNNNNNNNNNNNNNNNNNNNNNNNNNNNNNNNNNNNNNNNNNNNNNNNNNNNNNNNNNNNNNNNNNNNNNNNNNNNNNNNNNNUUUCCCUUAUAAUUUUUCUUCUAGGCAUUUUAUCUGCAAUACACAUAAAAUGUAAUUAAACUUAAUAACUAAUUACAACAAUAACAGCACAUAUAAAAUAGUUGAAAUAUAUAAUAAGACCAAGAUUUAAUACUAAUAUAAGUUACAUAUAAUUAAACAAUCGUAAAAUCUUACUACAUCAUUAUUCGUAAAUAUCUUCAUCCGUAUCCUGAAGAACCCAUUGAAAUUGUGCACUAGUACUAGGGAUAUUAUCGUUUAAGUUUUGUCUUGGAAAUGGCAAAGUUUCUGAUCUGUCGUCAAUGUUAUCUCUACUUCCACUGCCCAUGUCAAACAAGUCUCUAGAGAUGUUACGGAGUACAACGUACCAACCCUCAUUAGUUGGAUCUUUUGAGUAAAAAACUUGUUUGACUUGAGAUGAGAAUACAUACGGCUCAUCUAUCAGUUGUUGUCCAGUGUGAAUUAAUCGGUCAAAGUUCACCAUUGUAAAACCAAAUUGAUCUUGCUUGAUUCCACGAGCUGUAUUAACAUCGGCCCAAUCACCUCGAAAUAAGACAACUUUCCAUUUGCCGUAGAAAUCCAACUCAAUUAUGUCAGUAAGAUGUCCGAAAUAUUCCACAUUUCCCUCGACAGGAUUAUUGUCCCUAGCACUAGCAUAACUUAUAAUUGUAGAAUUAACAACUAUUCCACAAUUUUGCGUUCUCCUCAACCUCUCGCAAUAUUUUGUAUGAAAUCUGAAUCCGUUGAUGAGGAACGCACUAUAUCUUUUAACCACUCGAUUUGGACCUUGGGAGAGCCAUUUAACUUCGUCGUCUACGUUCUUCCCACUCCAAACCUAUUGAAUGGAAAGUAAACUGAGUAAUUAAAAAUGUUAUGCGAAAACAUUAUUAUUUGUAAGCGGAAGCUCCAACUGCAUACCGUUUGGCUUAACCAUUCAUAAAAAGAUUCUGUAAACAACUUAUUGAUAUCUCGAUGUUGUGUUCUUCCGGAGCGCGAACGAGAUCUCAAUAUUUGUUUGUACUCACUGUGUUAAAAAAUGUUCACUUUGUUAGAAGAUAAACAAUUAUUAGUUUGAUAAAUAUUUAUCAAAUUUGUAGAACUUACUUCCGUAAAGGUUCCAAUGAUUCAUGGUGAAACAGAACAUAUCGAUGUGCUUGUACCCACGAUAAAUGAUCUAAUUCUGCAAUUUCAACUUUACCGAUUGGUUCUCCAAAACUUUGGAACAAAUAAGUAUCGGCUAAGUUAUGGUCUGCGAGUCCAGCAUUCCUAUUUGGUCUGUUCAACCUUGUUUCAACAUCUUCCAAAUAUCUUGAGUAGAAGGUCAUACAUUUCUCUGCCAAGUAGCCUUCAGCAAUUGAUCCUUUUGGAUAUCACUUGUUGCGGUAGUAAGACUUUAAUUUGGAUAGGAACCUAAACACAAUAUACAACAUUAUCAAAAGAUGUAACUAAAGGCAUAGAGGUGAAUGAAGGAAAAUUUUAAAAAUUUUAACUAACACCUUUCUAUGGGAUACAUCCAUCGAUAGAAAACGGGUCCGCCAAGAAUUGCUUCGUGCAGGAGAUGGAUUAUCAAGUGAACUAUAAUGGUGAAGAAUGAAGGUGUGAAGAUUUUCUCCAUGUUGCAUAAAGUCAAAGCGGCUCGAUCCUGUACCUUCUGAAGUUCUUGAACAUCCAAAACUUUGCCACAAUGGCUUUCAUUAUAUUGAUAGUUCAAUUAUACAAGACGUCACCUUCUUGGACAUACAGAUCGUAGAGCAACUGGCAGUAAAUCUUGCAUCAAGAUGUGAUAGUCAUGUGAUUUUAGCGAAUAUAAUCUUCGAUCUUUAACACUAACACAUCAAGAUAUAUUUGAUGCAUACGCAUCUGGAACCUUNNNNNNNNNNNNNNNNNNNNNNNNNNNNNNNNNNNNNNNNNNNNNNNNNNNNNNNNNNNNNNNNNNNNNNNNNNNNNNNNNNNNNNNNNNNNNNNNNNNNAUGCAAAACAGUUCUUUCACCGUCUUGGACAUUGAGAAAAUAGAAGGUGGCAACCGAUAUUUCCCAUUCGGAAGUGGAUUGGGAUGAAGAUCAGGCCAAAUUCCCAUUUGGACUAAAUCAAGUCGACUCUGAAGAUUGUCUUUUGAUUUUCCGUCGACAUUCAAAAUUGUACCCACAAUGUUCUCGCAGACAUUUUUCUCAAUGUGCAUAACAUCAAGAUUGUGUCGUAAAAGGUGAUGCUCCCAAUAAGGCAACUCAAAAAAAUACUUCUUUUUUUCCACAAGUCCGCCUCAUUAGGAUCAUCAUCUUCAUCAGAGUCAUCAUCAGCUUCAUCAUUUGAUCUUCUAUUUCUUUGUGUGCUUGGCGGUUGGUUCAUCUUCCCAUAAAUGAAAUUCAUAUCUUCCAACAUGAACAAGAUUUCAGAGCCACUGGUCUGCAAAAGAGCUUCUCUGAACUCUUCAGUACUGUCCAAUACGGAACUCUGAAAUCUAAAUCUAUGAUUUUUCGGUAACCACCGACGAUGCCCCAUGUAAGAGAACUUCUUCCCAUUGUACAACCAUUGCGAACAUGUUUGUGCAGCACAACAAGGACACCCAUAACGACCCUUGGUACUCCAACCGGAUAAAUUGGCAUAAGCGGGAAAGUCAUUAAUGGUCCACAUCAAAGCUGUACGUAAAUUAAAGUUCUCCUUUCUCAGCACAUCGUAUGUCUCGACACCAGCCAUAAUUGUUUUAACUCUUCAAUAAGUGGCUGUAAAUAAAUGUCGAUAUCAUUCCCGAGCCCUUUCUCUCCAGGGAUAAUCAUAGAUAAGAUAAGGGAAAAUUGCUUCAUGCAAAUCCACCGAGGCAGAUUGUAAGGAACAAGCACUACUGGCCAAGUACUGUACGCAGUGCUCAUGAUCUUGAAAGGAUUAAAUCCAUCAGAUGCUAGCCCAAGCCUCACACUCCUAUGAUCGCUUGCAAAGCCUGGAAAUUUAUUGUCAAAUGAUUUCCAAGCUAAAGAAUCUGCCGGAUGCCUUAGUAAGUCAUCAUCGGUUCGUCCAUCAUGGUGCCACGUCAUUGAUUCUGCUGUCUUCGACGACAUGAAAAGCCUUUGAAGCCGUGGCAUCAUUUUCAUCGUCGUUCCCAUCUUCUGUGUUUCUACUAAUCCAACGGGAUUGGCCGCAUACAUGACAGCACUGUUGGUUUUUUCGAUCGCCCCAAUACAAUAUGCAGUCAUUUGGGCAACUAUGGAUUUUGUUGUACCCAAAGCCUAAAUCUUUUAUUAUUUUCUUCAUAUCUUUGCAUGACUGAGGGAUUUUUGCAAACAGAAACAUUUCUCUCAAAAACUCUAACAGCAUUGUCAACGAGUUUUCGGUCCAUCCUCCCAAACAUUUUAACUAAAAAAGACGAACACAGAAUGACAUUUUUGAAAAUUUUGAGCCCUCAUACAGUUCUUCGUUCAUGUCAUUAAGUAGCGCGUAGAACUUCGCCGCUUCUCCAUUUGGCUCUUCAUGAGGUACACUACUGGCCGGUUCGGUAAAUGCAGUUCCACUAAUAUUACAAUCAUCAGAUGCCACAAAAUCCGCUGGGAACGACUGCACACCAUGAUUAUGCAUAUUAAAUGCAUCUCGCAACAUACCUUCCAUGUCAUCCCCUCUUUCAGACUGAUGGUAUUUAGCAGUACCAGGAUAAGAUACAUCCAUCCUUGAAGAGGAAGUACUAGGCGAGCAUUCUCCAUGAAAAAAUCAUUGCUUAUAACCCCAAACAAACCCAUCAACAAUUAGAUGCUCGUAUACAACCUCACGAUAAUGCCAGUUUAUGUUGACACACUUCUUACACGGGCAAAGAAUCAUGUUCUCUUGGCUUGCAUAUUGAAAUGCAAAAUUUAGAAAAGUCUCAACUCCGUUUCGAUAACCGUUGCUUACCCUUGACAAAUUCAUCCAAGAUCGGUCCAUAUCUUAAUUCUUGAAGUCUGACAUUGACAAUAAAUUGCACGGGUAAGUUAUGUAUUAUGUAAGCUAUGUAAGUUGUGUAUUAUGUAAGUUAUUAUUAUGUAAGUUAUGUAAGUAAUGUAUUAUGUAAGUUGUGUAUAAUGUUAGUUAUCAAAGUUAUGUAUUAUGUAAGUUAUUUAAGUUAUGUAAGUUGUGUAUUAUGUAAGUUAUGUAGGCUAUGUAUGUUAAAUAAGUAAUGUAUUAUGUAAGUUGUGUAUAAUCAGCUUCAUCAAAGUUAGGUAUUAUGUAAGUUAUUUGUGUUAUGUAAGUUGUGUAUUAUGUAAGUUAUGUAGGCUAUGUAUGUUAAGUAAGUAAUGUAUUAUGUAAGUUGUGUAUAAUGUUAGUUAUCAAAGUUAUGUGUUAUGUAAGUUAUUUAAGUUAUGUAAGUUGUGUAUUAUGUAAGUUAUGUAGGCUAUGUAUGUUAAGUAAGUAAUGUAUUAUGUAAGUUGUGUAUAAUGUUAGUUAUCAAAGUUAUGUAUUAUGUAAGUUAUUUAAGUUAUGUAAGUUGUGUAUUAUGUAAGUUAUGUAGGCUAUGUAUUAUGUAAGUUAUUAUGUUAUUAUGUAAUAAGUUUAUAUAUAAGUUUAUAUUAUGUAAGUAUUUCACUUUUAUGUAUCUUAUUUAUAAUUAUUUUUAAAAUUAUAAAAUUCAUUACUAAUAAAAUUGAAAUGUAGGAUAUUUUUUUUUGAAAGAAAACCCGAAGGUUAAAACUUUAUUUAAUCGCAUCAUUAAGAACAAUAUCGUGGAUUUCCGUCGGAAAAUCCAUGUUAAAGUCCAUACAGCUCUUGUUAAGGUUUGCCCAUUUACACAGGGCAUCAGCAACUCUGUUACAACACCUUGGGACCCAUUUAACCGUAAAGAAAUUGAAACCAACUAUGAACUUCCGAAUUUCUUUCAACUGGUGGCCCAUCAAGGUCAAGUCCUCCUUACUGCUGUUGAAACGGUUAACAAUACUUGCGCAAUCUGACUCAAUCGCCACGCACUUCCAGUUUUUGGAACAGGUGUAAUUGAUACUCACUUCCAUGACAUGCGUCUCCGCCCACUCAAUACUUGAAACAUUGUUAGACAUGCCCACACGCCCCCUAAGAAUGAAACCAUCUGUAUCCCUUUCCACCAGACCGUACAACCCCGUAUUCUCAUGGAUAGUAGCAUCGAAAUUAAUCUUGAUAACUCCUGACUCAGGUUUCUGCCAAUCCCUUUCCACAAUAGGCUUAGGUAUCAUCGGCCUGUCCAACAGAUUAAAGAUACGAAAGUCCCUAUUUAAAGCCGCAGCCCUGUCCCAUGUCACCUUGGCAUCCUCCUCUAUAUUACGAAAAACUUUGAUGUUUCUACUAUUCCAAAUAUUCCAGAUGGUAGAAAUAAAAUCCGACAUAGCCUUCUUGUCCAUCACGCGGGCAGCAUCCUCGAUCCAGUUCACGCGCCGGUCAUAAGUACCCUCGAACAGCUUUUGAUUUGACCCCCCAUAGCGCAGCACUGCCCUGGCACUAGGGCACUCUCUCAAAGCGUGAACAAGGGUUUCCCUCUCAACACCACAUCUCGGGCACAUACUGUUGAAAUCCCUCCGGAUUCGAGAGAUAUUCUCAUAAGUAGGUAGAAUGUCAUGCCCCAGGCGCCAGCAGAAAAGCUUAAUUUUUGGCAAGGUUUGCAGUUUCCAAGUAAGGUUCCAGAAAAAACAGUAGGGAUCGUAGCCCACAUUCUUCAAAGUCAUCCAGGAGUAAGCUGACUUGGUAGAGUAAAAACCCUGGGGAUUAUGAAACCAUAUACGUAAAUCAUCCGGGCCAUUAGGAAGAAAGGGAAUUUUACCAAUAUAGUCCCCCAUAUUCUCCCCAUAGAUCACCUUCACUCUACAUUCGUUCCAUCCAUAUUUGUUACUGUUCAAAAGAUCACACACCUUAUUCUCCUGAACCUCCCUUUUAUCGAUACGGAUGGAAUCACCGGAUAAGCCUUCGAAACCCCAGUUAUCCUUCCAAAUGUCAAUAUUGCAGCCAUUCCCCACCCUCCAUCCAAAGCCCUCCUGAAGCCAAGUGAUCGCCUUUUGGAUACUCCGCCAAGUAAAAAAGGGUUUGUCGACCCACUUUGAAUGAAAUACGUCGCCAUCUGGGAAGUACUUAGCCCUUAAAACUUUGUAACAAAGCGAGUCUUUACACCUCAUAAGCCGCCACACCUGUCUGCCUAAUAAAGCAACGUUAAAACGCCUAAGAUCUCUGAAGCCCAGUCCUCCCAUACCCUUCGGAAGGCACAUCCUUUCCCAGGCCAGCAUAUUCCACCCCCUAUUAUUAUCCUUACCCCCCCACCACACCCUCCGGAUCAAGGACUGAAUCUUAUUAAUGACACCGUCCGGGAUAAAGAAAACCGAGAAGGCAUAGGUCGGGAUCGACUGUAGAAUAAAGAUUUCCUUACCACCAUUAGAUAAGAGUCUCUUAGACCAGCUGUUAAUCCUAUUGGCGACACGAUCAAUAAUAUUCUGAAAGACCAUCGAUUUUUUCUUACCCACCGGGAUAGGCAGACCAAGAUAACCAUCAAAAUUAUCCACCAUCUUCAUUUUCAGCAAUCUGCUUAAGGUUUCGCGAUUCACGUUCGGGGUGUUAGGGCUGAAAUAGAUCAUCGACUUGUCUAAAUUGAUACUUUGGCCCGACCUCUUUUCGAAAGUUUCCAGAAUCUUCAUGACAGCCUUUGCUUUAUGCUUUGAAUUCCUAACAAAUAAUAAAGCAUCAUCAGCAAAGAAAAUAUGAUUAAUACUCGGGCCAUUCUUACUAGCCUUAAUGCCUUUAAUACUCUUAGUCUCUUGAGCAUGGGUUAACAUGCGAGACAAGGCAUCCAUGCAAAAAAGAAACAAGUACGGGAAAAGGGGAUCUCCUUGUCUAAGACCCCUUUUCGGGACAAUAAGCUCAGAGAGGGUCAUAUUGCAUUUAACUCUAUAUCGAAUAGUACAGACACAGUCCAUAAUAAUAUGCACCCACUCAUGAGCAAAACCCAUUUUCAGCAUCACAUUUUUAAGAAAGUCCCAAUCCACCCUGUCGUAGACUUUGCUCAUGUCGAGCUUAACCACACAACCUUGUUCGACCCUUUUUUAGAAUUGUAGAGGUUGUGAACCAAUUCAUGGGCCACUAAGACAUUAUCAUGGAUCAUCCGAUUAGGGACAAAAGCACUCUGGUACUGGCUAAUACAAAGGUGGAGGUUCUCUUUUAACCGGUUAGCCAGCACAUUUGCAAUAAUUUUGUAAACCACCCUACAGAGGCUAAUCGGACGAAAGUUAGACAUAUCACAAGGAUUCUUGAUUUUGGGGAUCAAAACAAUUAAGGUUUCAUUGAUACACUCGGCGCUUCUGUUGCCUUUAAGGAUAGAGUGACACAGGCUCAGCACGUUUUUCCCAACGGUAGACCAAUUUUCCUUGAAAAGCUGCCCAAAAGCCCGUCGAUACCAGGGGCCUUACGAGGGUCCAUUUGGUUGAAAGCCUUAAUGAUUUCACCUUCAGUGAAGUCGUCCAGCAGUCUCUUGUUAACGUCCUCGUCAAUACACCUAGGGAUCAAGUGCAUGUCACUAUCAUUCCCCUCAUAAGUCGGCGAUUUAAACAAAUUAUCAAAAUAAUUCUAAGCAAUCUGACAAAUCUCCUUCUUAUCCACGUGCCACACGCCCUGCUCAUCUUUAAUUCUGUCAAUUCUAUUCUUUGAUCUGCGACUCGACGCCCUUACAUGAAAGAAGCGGGUAUUCCCAUCCCCCUCCUUCAGCCACUGUGUCCGCGCCCUCAUGGCCCAAUAUUUCUCUUCCACCUCAUAGAGAUAGCCCAACUUACUUCUGGCUAUUUUCAGGAGACUCGUCGAUCUCUCACUAAUCUGGCCGUCCAUAAGAAUACUAAUUUCCUUCUCCAAUCCUUUGAUGUUGUUUUUUAACUUUCUGUACCGAUUAUACUGCCACGGGCCAAACUUGUCUUUUACCAGCUUCAUCUUGUCCACCGCAUUGCACCCCUCCGUUGACCACGCCUUAGAAAUAAUGUCCUUAGCUUCCUGCUCCUUUGCCCAGCAGAUGUCGUACCUAAACCAACCUCUAGAAACAUAACCCUUCUCCUUAGGCUUGUUGCCAUGCAGAUCCAAUAAGAUAGCCUCAUGGUCCGACUUAGACUGGCGCACAAUGCUCGAGGUAAUGUACGGCAUCUUCUCGAUGAUAGUAUCCGAAAUGAGAAAUCUAUCCAGCCUUUCCUUAAUAACCCCAGUACCCUCUCUAUUAUUAGUCCACGUAAACCACCCGUUAUUGGUUUUGACAUCACUCAGGUUUAACUCUUCCAUAAUACCCCAAAAGUUAUCCAUCACACUCAUAGGCUUUCUGCGGCCCCCUUCCUUUUCCGAAUUGUUAAGGAUAGCGUUGAAAUCCCCACCAACGAUCCAACCUUCGUUAACCUUUAUCUUAACCUUCUUUAACAUAUCCCAUGCAAGGUGCUGAAGAGUGGGGUUAGGGUGGCGAUAGAAACCAGUGAAACGAAUAACCUCGCCAUCGACCAGUUUAAUCAGCGAGUCUAUGUAGAACUUGGAGUAAGUCUGGAUUGUAACAUCAACACCCUCCCUCCACAUCAAAGCCAGACCACCGCUAUUUCCCUCAGAACUAACAGCAAGGCAACCACCCAUCCUACACCUAGACUGAAUACGAGAAAACUCGUUAGCAUGAAUUUUUGUUUCACAUAGAAAGAUAAUGUCGGGAACAUUCGCAACCAGGAGUUGCUUCAGCUCUCGAACUGUCGCUGGGUUCCCGACCCCGCGACAGUUCCAGCAAAAGAUUUUCAUUGCUCUUGGCGGGGCUGGUCACCAGCCGCCGCCUCUGAUGGUGAAAUAGGUCCAGCAAGCCUUCUUUUAACUUGUCUCGCUGGACUUUCAAUCCAAAAAUAACCCUGUAAACACUUUUGUCUCCUUCUCUUACUUUUCGACUUUCCAUUCCCCUCCUUAAGCUGUUUGUACUUUCUACUUUCCAUAGGGGAGGUAGAUAGAGAUUCCUCCUCAAGCACCCUUUCUCUUCCGUCCAUACUUGGUCUCCAGCUUUCAUUGCUUGAUCUAGUCAGACUUUCCUCCUUAUUUUCCUUCAAUUUUACCAUUGAUUUAAACUCUUCCACCCCAUUUCUUCUCAUUCCCUUAUCCUGAUUUGGGGUCACAAUGGGUGCCUUCAUCCAAUUUUCAAAUUGAAGAUUCGAGUUCAUCAUUCCGCCCUUCAUCGCAUUGUUCGUGCACACCUUCAACGUAUGCCCUAUGAUCCCACACGAGUGACAAAAAUCUAGAAGUCUUUCAUAUUUUAACAGACUUAUUCUUUCAUUGCCAUCUUUAUCAGCAAAUUUUACGAUUCUUCUCAGUGGUUUUGACACAUCAAUCUUGACUUUUAGUCUCAUGAAUUCUGUCCAACUCCCAAAUCUGUCCUUCCAAUCGAUUGCCACCAGCACACCAAUUGUAUUACCGACAUCCAAAGCUGUUUGACGGUCCAUGAGUUCUAUAGGGAUGUUGUAAAUUCUCACCCAGAAUGGUACAAAUUGGAAUUCAUAGGAUUCUAACUCCUUUCCUUUCUCGAAAGGAAGCAACGAGAAUAAACACCUGUCAAAAAGCCAUGGUGAGAGAUUUAAAAUACGGCUACGGUCCUCCUGACAUCCGAACUUCACAAUAAUCACCCCAUCUUUCAGAGCUACGAAGUCAACUUCCUCUUUUGUAAACCAAAGCGACUUAAGAACCCUGUACAUCGCCUCCCUGUUUGGUAGUUCGGUCGCCAUGAUCUUUCCCAUUGCCCAUGCCUUCCAGCUUUGAACCCUAUCCGCUACUCCUGUAUUAACAACCAAGGAAGAUUCUUCCUCCGAAAAAUUUAAUUUUCCUAACAGUUCUUUAAUUUCUUCCAUCAAUAAUACAAGAACGAACACUGGCUUUCCCUCCAAGACGUUCAGCCACAAAAGAUCCAAGAAAACACAAAAUAAGCAGGAAAACUACGAUAAUAAACUUUUCAUGCAUGACACACCAACGGCUCUACGUAAGUAAAAACUCAUUAAAAAGAGAAACUAGUGGACCCCGCACGGGCCCACAAAAAGAAAAGACGACCCUAAACAGUAAAAAAAAGGAAAAAAUGGGACACAGGACACAAGAAAACAACAAUCAAAAAGAAAAAAACAAAAAAAGAGAAAGUGGUUAAGACAAGAAAGCACCGCAAGAACACCCAGAAAAGCACCCGGAGAAAGAGGGAAAUCAGAAAGUGGUUAAGACAAGAAAGCACCGCAAGAACACCCAGAAAAGCACCCGGAGAAAGAGGGAAAUCAGGUCCGAGUAAGAGGCGUCAAAACACGUCACAAGACACCAGCACCCAAACAGCAACCCCCACUUGACACCAGGAGAAGCAGACGAAAUCACCCAGUCAAAGCAUCUCCCUCAGAAACCUCCUAACUGCCAUAAUAUUCAAGAGAAUAAGGCAGACGCUUGAAAUGUAAGAUAUAUAUCCAUACCAUAUAUNNNNNNNNNNNNNNNNNNNNNNNNNNNNNNNNNNNNNNNNNNNNNNNNNNNNNNNNNNNNNNNNNNNNNNNNNNNNNNNNNNNNNNNNNNNNNNNNNNNNUUUUAAGUAAUGUAAUAUAUUUAAGUAAUGUAAGUUAUAAAUUUUUGUAAGUAAUAUAUUUAAGUAAUGUAAUAUAUUUUAGUAAGUAAUGUAAUAUAUACUUUAAUCUUAGUAAGUCAUGUAUUUAAGUAAAUUCUAGUAAGUAAUGUAUUUAAGUAAUAUAUUUAAGUAAAUUUUAGUAAUUAAUAUAUUUAAGUAAUGUAAGUUAUAAAUUUUAAAAAUAUAUAUAUUAAUAAUUCAUUGACAUUCAUUGACAAUUCACUGACAGUCAAUCAAUUAAUCGAUCAAUUUGCCAAAUAAUCAUAGAUUAUUAAACAUUAACAUUCAAUCAAUUAAUCACAUCUAACGUCGAUAAUUUAUUCAUUGACAUAAAAUCGAAAAUUGAUAAUUUAUUCACAUUAAACCGAAUAAACUAAUCGCCCAUAAUUUAUUCAAUUACUCAAAUAUAAAAAGUGAUUUAAGAAUCAUAAUCUGAAUUUUAAUAAUUUGCGUAAUUUUUUUUCUUGGGUAAAUGAUACGUACAAAAAUAACAAGCAUAAUGUAAACCUCGCAAUUAUGUAAUAAGCUGCAAAGUUACACGCAAAUUGAGCUAGCAACAUAUAAAGCAAAUAUGAUAAUUAAAACCGAUACCCACAGCUUUAAAACCAAAAAUCUUAAUUAAAACUCCGUUUUAAAACUAAAAAAUAAUAAUUAAACGAUAAAGCUAAAAUAUAACCAAAUCCGAAAUUUAAACAUUUGGAGCUGUUUUUUUUAAGAAAACUAUCUAGGGAAACAUAGAAAUAAAUACCUCAAAUUUCCUCAACUUCGAAGCAACUUCUGCAAAAAAAAACACACACACACACAGACAAGUAAAUUAGUACCAACAAAACAGAAAAAAAAUAACAGAAGGAAACAAAAGAAUAUUUAACUAAAUUAAGAUUCAAAUCUAAAUUUGAAUUUUAAUUAUCACAACAAUCAGAACAAUACAUAAAGACCAAUGCAGAACAGGACUCAAUAUUUCUUCAGAAUUACCGUAUGAAAUAUUUCCAUAUCAAAUUCACUUCAUUAUUAAUACCAUACUGCAAUAUCAAAUAUUUAACAACUUUGAUUCAGAUGAAAUAUCUAAUAUCAAAUUCACAUCAAAGAACAUUUGACAGUAGCCUCAAUUUAGGAUCUAACCAACCAUUCUUUUACAAAUUAUGAACAGUUGACAGUAGCUAAGCUACUGUCUACAGCCUGUCUACAGUCAGAAUUUCGGCAAAUUGCAGCAUUGAGUCUCAUAACCAACAAGAUAUAAUUAGUUACAUUUAACUAAAUAUGAAAAAAAUCUAUUAUUAAAUAAUAUAUGUUGCUAUCGCAAAACAAGGUAGAAAACAGAACAGCUAUUUGCAUAUUCAUUCAGAAAAUCUAGCAAAAUAGACUAGAAAACAAAUCCCAAGAAUUAAUACAAGAUAAUAUUCUUCAAAUAUAUGAUUUUUUUUAAAAAGGCAUACACAUUCCAUUAUCUCCACAAUCGUGGAUCACCCAAAAUCCAAGUAAAAUAAAUAUUAAAAGGCUUUAACAAAUGUACUACAAUUCAUCAAGUUAUACACUUUGAACUCUUGGAGGGACCAAACUUACCUAAAUACGAGCUGAUCAAUAAGGGAGUAUGAGUAUGAAAAUAUGAAUUUCUAAACAUUUUUCAAAUACAUAAAACUUUAAAAAUAUAAAAAUACUCAAGCAUUCGAUCCUUACACUAGAAUCCAAGAAGCAUAGAUUAAAACCGGUGUUUAUUUUUUCCUUUCUAACAAAAUCCUAACCAAAUAACUCACAUUUAUAAUCAAACCCUAAAAAAGCUGGGCUUAAUAAAUCAUAAAAUAAAUAAAAUACCAAUAAAACAUAAAGCACAGCAAUCAUUUGCUCAUAAGAACAUAACUAAAAAUUUAAAGAAAAAGAAAAGCGAAAUAAACAAAAUGAAGGGAGAAACACGCUUCGAAGAUCUAAAAACGGAAGAGGUAGCGACGACGAGAGAAAAUACGAUGAAGAAAGAAGCUAAGACUCGUUGGACUUCUCUAAUAAGUAGAAAACAAACACAGAAGAUCGAUACUUUUUCCCAAACCCUAGACAUGCAGAAAUCCCCAAAUUCCCAAACAAACUGGUUCAAGCUUGGUGAUUGAACUUGGUAUUUAAACCCCAAAUUCCAAAAUUACACUGAAGCAAAACCCUAAAUCAAGAUACAGUGUUUCGAAAGAAAAAACGCUUACCUUUUAACAACAAAUUCCGCAGCUUUGAUAGUAUCCUAUGAAGAUUGACUAAACCUUUGCUUCGUUUGUGAUGAUUUCUGAGUUCUCCUCUCCCUUUUUUUUUUCUUUGUAUUUUUUCACGAUUUCUGGGGAAAAGUUGGGGGGGCCUUUUUUGGGGAGAAAAUACGUUUUUCGGCUAAGUGUUGGGAUGAAAUAUAGAAUGAACAAUUGCGGCGUUUGUAAUAUAGCGCCACUAAUGCCGUUAAUGUGGUAGAUAAACGACAGCGUUUUUUUAAAACUGGAAAGCAAAUUUGCGGCGUUUCCGCAUAGCGCCGCUAAAACAUACCUUUACUGGCGCUUUUACAAUUGCGCCGCAAAAGCCAGUAAAUUCCCGAACAAAAACUACAUCGUUUUGCCCAAACUAUUCAUAAUUUUUUGCGACGUUUAUGAAUAAAACGCCGCUAAUGCCCAUUUUUCUGGCGUUUUUUACAAAAACGCCACUAAAAAAUUAAAUUCUUCUACUGAAACGGCACCAUUUUUUAGAAAUUUUAAAACAUUGUUUUUUUUAAUUCAUAUUUAAAAAACACAAUAUAUAAUUACAAAUUGCGGCGUUUACGAAUAAAACGCCGCUAAUGCCGUUAAUAUGCCAUAGAAAACGACAACGUUUUGAUUAAACUACAGAGCAACUUUGCGGUGUUUUCUUCCUAGCGCCGCUAAUUCCCAACUUUAGUGGCGUUUUUGCCCUUGCGCCGCGAACGCCGUUAAAUUCCCAGCCAAAAACUACACCGUUUUUACCAAAUUAUUAAUAACUUUUUACGGCGUUUUUGCUCAAAAUGCCGCUAAAUCUCACAUCUUUUUAUUUUUUUCUUUCUUUCUUCUAUGUUUCAUUAGAAUUUUAAUUAAUUAAUUAUUAAAAUUUUAAGUAAUGUUUAAAAGUAUUUCAUAAAAUUAUAAAUUUUAGUUUUUUUAUUUCAUUUUUAUUUUUUUUUAUUUUUUCAUAUAUUUUGAUCCUAUCCAAAUUAAAUAAGUAAUUACUUAUAUAUAUAUCCAUAUAAAAAAUAUCGAAUUGUUAAUGUUAAAUAUUUUAAAUAUAAAUUUUAGUAAUUAAAUGUAUCAUUUAACAAGUCUAAAAUAAACCAAAACCCUAAUUUAACCAUUCGGCCGUAUACAUGCAUAUAUAAAAUAGAUCUCUCUCUCUCUCUUUAUAUAUAUAUAUAUAUAUAUACAUAUAUAUAUAUCUAAUUAAUUUAAUAAUAUAUAAACUAUAUAUACAUCUUUGAAAUAUAUCUUAAAUGAUCACUGAACCUCCACCAAUUGUAGGAUUCUUGACAUGUGCUAUCGGUGCCCUAGGAACAUUGCCAAAAUACCGAAAGGGGGCAUCUGCUAGCUUCCAACCCUCGAAAUCCCGUCGUUCAUCAAUAAAUAUUUUUAGAACGAUCAUUUCUACUAUAAAUUAGAAGGCUGAACCAGAUUUUGUAGAGUAGUGACAAAAAUUUGGAGAAACAAAAUCGGAUGGUCACUACUUAAUAUUAAAUUUAUUAUUAUAUAUUUUACAAACAUAUAAGAACAUAUUUAAUAUAUAAAUUAAUAAAACUAAUUAAUCUAAUCAACCAUGAUCCCUAACUUGAGUACCCUUGACACCCUAAACCCUAAAUCCCUAACCCCUAACCCUUAAAUCUCCUAGCCCCUAAAUUCCUAACCCCUAACCCCUAAAUUCCUAACCCUUAACCCCUAACCCCUAAAUCUCUAAUCCUUAACCCCUAAACCUUAUAUCCCAAACCCUAAUAGAGUACAUCAUUCAACUGAAACGACGCCGUUCUGACAGAGUUUCAAGAAUAUUAGCGGCGCUUCCCUAUAAAACGCCACAAUAGAAACUGAUUCCCUAACACGUAACGACGUCGUAUAUUGCAAUAUUUGUGGCGUUUUUGACUAAAACGCCGGUAAAGGCUACCUUUUGCGGCAUUUUUAUAUAGAAACGCCGCUAAAUUUCUCUUCUUUUUUUUGUGUCUUACAUUUAAAUAAUUAAUUACCUAUUUAUUUAACAAAUACAUAAUUACCUACUUAUUUGUUUAUUUAUUUAUACCAAGAUUAUUUUGGUCCUAUAUAUCCUAUAUAUACAAAUUAAAUAAUUAAUAACUAUAUAUAUAUCCAUAUAUAUCAAAAANNNNNNNNNNNNNNNNNNNNNNNNNNNNNNNNNNNNNNNNNNNNNNNNNNNNNNNNNNNNNNNNNNNNNNNNNNNNNNNNNNNNNNNNNNNNNNNNNNNNNNNNNNNNNNNNNNNNNNNNNNNNNNNNNNNNNNNNNNNNNNNNNNNNNNNNNNNNNNNNNNNNNNNNNNNNNNNNNNNNNNNNNNNNNNNNNNNNNNNNNNNNNNNNNNNNNNNNNNNNNNNNNNNNNNNNNNNNNNNNNNNNNNNNNNNNNNNNNNNNNNNNNNNNNNNNNNNNNNNNNNNNNNNNNNNNAGAAACCCUAUCAUGACCGUCUAAACCCUCCGACCAAACCCAAAAAAUUCCCUAAAUUAAUAUUCUUUAAUAAUCACAAAAUAUAGUGAAAAUCUAUUAAACAACAAGUUAUAUAUAGUUAAAAAUGUUGUACAAAGUUGAAAUAUGCUAGCAAUAUUAUCUUUAUGACAAAAAUUUUCGUAUGGAUCUAAAUAUAAGUUUUUAUCAUUUUUGAACUUAAAUAUCGAUAUUUUUGCAUCUGGUAUUGCUAUAGUCAUAUGUAUCAAAAAAAAUCACCGACGAUAGGGUUAAAUGUUUUUAAAUAUACAAGAUAAUUAAUUGUAUCAUUUAACAAGUCUCAAAUUAUAAAUUAACCAAUCAAUCGACAUGCAUAAAGUGAUCAUGAUCUACCUAUUAUAAUAGUCUAUAUAUUAAAUUUAUUCUGGAUCUAUUUUACAAAUAUAUAAGAACAUAUAUAUUAACCAUAAAAAUUAAUCAAAAACUAAUAUUAAUCUAAAUUAAACCCUAGCUAACAUGACCGUUGAAACCCUAAAUCCCAAACCUUAAAUCUAUACCCCGUACUCCUUAAAAUACCGUCCAUAAAAAAAUUCCCUAAAUCUUUAAUAUAUAUAAUCAUAAAAUAUAGUCAAAAUCGAUUAAACAAUAAUUAAUUGUUAAAAUAUAUUUUGUAUAAAUUGGUGUUUUAUAUUAAUUNNNNNNNNNNNNNNNNNNNNNNNNNNNNNNNNNNNNNNNNNNNNNNNNNNNNNNNNNNNNNNNNNNNNNNNNNNNNNNNNNNNNNNNNNNNNNNNNNNNNUUGAUUUAUUUAGUCGAACAGUACUACCAAAAUUUAUUACUCUUAUAAAAGUUAAUUCUAUUUUUAAUUUAUUCUUUACAAUACAAAAAUUUAAGUUUUAUUAUUAUAUUUUAUUCAUAAUUUAAUAUAUUUUCUCUCGUAAAGUAGUUUAAAUCAACUGUGAUUGAAAAUUAGUAAUAAAUAGUUAGCUGUUAUAUAUAUAUACGACUUCUCUUUAAUAAAAACUUUUUGUAUUAAUCAAUAUUAUUUGUUAAUUAUAAUUUAAAUGUAAAUUGUACCACUAUAUAAUAAAUAGAACAAAAUAUUAAUUAUUUCAACUUAUAAGAUUUUUGUUACUAUUAGUGGCGCUUCGGCAAAAACGCCGCUAAAGCUAAAUGCAUUAGUGGCGCUUAGAUAAAAACGCCGCUAAAGGCCAGAGAAUUAGCGGCACUCAGAUAAAAACGCCGCUAAAUAUCCGAGCAUUAGCGGCGCUUAGAUAAAAACGCCGCUAAUUCCUAUUUUUAGCGGCGCUUGGUGGAAAUCGCCGCUGAUGCUCUACCUUUAGCGGCGCUUUGGCUAAAUCGCCGCUAAUGCUCGAUUUUUUGUGGCGCUUUUGUUCCAAACGCCGCUAAAAGUGCCGCUAAAAGCCUAUUCUGGUGUAGUGCGUGUUGUUGUAUCCUAUGAGAUAGUCGAUCAACGUUUCUCCAAGUAUCGUAAGAACAGUCAAAUCUGUCUUUAGGAAACUAUGUAAAACAAGCCUCAACAUUUUAUAAAACUCGAUUCUUUAUUCGAUUUCUGAUUUUUCAUAAUCAUAUUUAUUUAAUUUAUUUUUCAUAUUUGGUAUUUUAAAUAUAAAUACUUAUUUUAUUUUAUAUAAAUAUUUAUUUAUAUUCAUAUUUUUUGACUAACUAUUUUGUUACAUUCAGUCACCACAACAUGUGAAUAUUUAUGUCUAAAUACAGUAAUGUUUUUAAUAAAAAGAGAUUGAGCAAAUCAACCGAUUGAUAUUUUAUUAAAACUUUUUUAUUCUUAUUGCAUGUUCUAUAAAGUCACAUUUUUCGCUUUUAGCUGUGAGUUGCAUCAGGUCUAUUAUUGUGUGACGUGUUAUUUCACAUGUUAUUUAUCAGUUAAUAAUACUUAUAAUAAAUUUCUUAACGGAUUUACAGAAUAUAGAUGAUUAGUUAUUAGGUUCGUUCGAAUAAUUACUUUAAAAAAAUAUGUCGUUAGUCCUCAUACUCUAUAGAAUUUAAAACUUAAUCCUGUUAAAAAUUUACUUAUCUUACUUUUUCAAUUAAAAAAUCCUAGUUCAAUCAUUUUUGUCGUUGAAAUCUAUUAGUAUAAUAUGUUUAUUUUUCGUCAAUCAUAUACCAUGUUGCUUAAAAGGCAACCUAAUCAAUAUAGCAAAUUAACAAAUUUUUUGGAAAAUAUUUACAAUUUUAAUGAUUGUCUUGGAAUUUUUAAAUAAAAAAUAUAUGAACUAAAACUUAAAUUUUAUCAAAGUAGAGGGACUACAUAUUUUAACCAAUAGAUAAUAUUCAUACCAAUUACAUUACAAGCAUAAGUGAUGAAAAUUUGAACAAAGCGAAACUAAUCCGAAAAGGAGUUAAGAUCCGCUCUUACUUUUUCAUUUAUUAAUAUUCAAUACAAUGAUCAUCGCCAUUUAAAUGUGUAAGACCCAUGUAGGACUCAUCUAUUAAAAAUAAAAAUCAACAUGUGAACGAUGAUUAAAUAUGCAUGGAUAUUAAUGGAUAAAAAAGUAAUAGAGUGGAGUCAAACCUUUCGAAUAGAACAAGACAAAAUCGACACAUAUUGAAAAUGGGACCCACAUAUCGCAAUUAUAAAUUGUACGACUUGAACUUGGACCUUCAAGGUUUGGAACCUUAACGUUUGCUAACUACGUUAAGGUCUCAUUGGUUAUAAUUGACAUUAUUUUUAUUUGCUCACUUUUAAAUAAUAGGUUUAUAAGUUUAAAAAAGCCCUUAAAAUGUAAAAAAAAAUAAUUAAUUAUUAAGCUCCUAUACUAAAUUCACACUCAAUUAAGCCCCUACCAUUAAUUAAAAUAAUCAAUUAAGCCCCUCCAUCAACGAUAUUGUCAUUGACCACGUUGACCGUUAAAAUAAAUUGAUAGACCAAUCGGAUGGUAACACGUAAUAGCUUCUAGUUUAAUCUAAUAUUUUCUCAUAAGAAUAUUAAAAAAUUAGAAUAAAAAUUAUAAAAAAUAAAAUUAUUAAUAUUAAAUUUAUAUAAACUUCUAAAAAUUAUAAAAAAUAUAUAAAAAUAAUAAAUUAUAAUAAAAUUAUAAAUUAUAAUAAAAUAAUAAAAUAUUUUUUAAAAAUAUUUAAAAUUUUAUAAAAAUUUUAAAAAUCAUAAAAAUUUGAAUUGGACCGGAUCAGUUUAUUGGACAGAUUAGACUGAAAUUGACAAAGAUAUCGGUACAGAGAAAGUUAUUAAACUGAUUAACUUAGGAAUUGGACAAUUGAAGCGAUUUUUUAUUUAUUUAAUGGAACCGGAUGGAUCUAUCGAGCUGAUAAAUUAGUGAUUUAAUCGAUUCGGCUAUUAGUCCGAUUUUAAAAACUUUAAUUAGAAUAUUUCAUUUUGAUAUAUAAUAAUGGUUAGAAAAAGAAAUUUUGAUACGAUAAUAAAAUUUUAAAAAAUCAUUAAAUUACCGAUCACCGACUUUAACAUAUGGGUGUUGACAUUUGACAUGUGGCCUAAUUUGGGGGGAAAAAAGUGAAUAAUUUUUGUUUGAUGUUUCAAAUAAUGAGUUUAUAAUACUUACCACCUCCCGAUGUUGAGUUCUCUUCCAAAUUGACAGCGAUUGAUGCGGCCAACUCAGACAGAACGACACAGUUUAAUAUCUGUGUGCUUUUCACGCGCUUUUAGGAGUGUGAGCAAAAAUAGAAAGAGUGAGAUUGGCAGAGAGAUGAUGAGUUUAAUUUGUCUAAUAUAUUUUUUGUUAUCUAACUAUAGUAUAAAUUCUAAAUUGGUCCUCAAAUUUUAAAAUAUUCUAAUUGAAUCCUUAAACUACAAUAGCAUAUCAAUUAUGUCUAUGUCAACCUAGAAAUUAGCUUAAAUGUUAUAUUUAAAAUAAUAGAUCAAUUUAUAAAAAGACAUAUUACAGUUUGAAUUCAUGUAUUUUAAAUCAAUUGACAUUUAUUGUCUAAAUCGACUGAAGGAUUUGGUUGAUAUAAUAUUAGUACUUUGAGUUAAUUGAGUCUUAGUUCAGUUGAUAUCGAUAUUAUUGUUAGUGUAGGAGGACAUGGGUUCGAGUAUGCUAAAGUUCAUUUAUCCUCUUAUUUAAGGAUUGGAUGGGAUUAUGAAUAGUUUUAGGUAUUGUAUAAAAAAUAUUAAUAUUUUGAGAUUUAUUUACAAUUGGAUCCAUGUAUCUUAAAUAUUCUUCACAUUAGAUCUAAACUAACAUUUAAUGUUUAAAUUAACGGCUAAGUUGACAAAAGUUUUUUUUUUGGGGGGGUUGAGAUAAAAAGCUUCGAUUCAUACAAUAUAUACUUUGAUAUAUGAGUGCAGAGAGGGAGGCAUGCAAAGCCCUAGCCCCUCUAAAAUGAAAAUUUAUUGAUUUAGUCCCCUAAAAUUUAUAAAAUCUUAAGUUAUAUUUUACCUCGUCCCAAAAUGCUAAUAUUUUGAUCUAGUUCUUUUGAAAACCAUAAAGAUAUAAGUUAAUAUAAGGAUAAAUUUGUAUUUUAGCUCUUAUAAAAAAUAUAACUUAAUCUCAGCCCCUAAAAAUAUAUAAGCUAAUAUUACGAUUGGGUCCACGUGUUUUAAAUAUUAUUCACAUCAAACUUGAACUAGUAUUUAGCAUCUAAAUUGACAAUUAAGUUAACAGAAGGACUAAUUUAAAGUCUAAUCAAUCCUUUAAGGACUUUUGAUUAAUUAAUCAUUUUUAGCUAAAGAAUUUUUACACAAUUACCCAUGAUGGAUUCUCGAUCGAUCUAAUGUAAAGUUUUAAUCUUUAACUUAUAUAUUCAACUAAAUUAAUAAUUUUUAAUAUAAAAAAUACAAACUUUAAAUGUAAACAAAUUAUAUAGACAUUUAAUAAAAUGUAGACACUUUUUAAGAAGCACUCCAUAUGAACAUAUAUGUGGUGUUGAAAAAAGGCACUGUUUCCACAUUUCCAGAUCCAAGUUCAUUCAGCCACCGACACACAAAGUUUCCUAAUCUCGAAGUCAAGUUUUUUUCUUUCUUCUUUAAAAUUUUCCUGGAAACUUAACCAUUCUCGGGAUUUCCCAAGAAAAGUUAAAGUCUCUCCUUCGUUAGUUUUAGUUUCCUUUUGGGGGAUCAUUUGGAUUCUGGGUAAGUGUAUCAAUGCUUUCUGAAUUUAAUUUUCAAGUAUUAAAAAUGGGUUUGCUUUAAAAAUGCAAGCUGUUGAUCUGUUUCAGAUUAUAAUCCACUUUUCGAUCCUGCAUUUUAUUCCUUUUCCACUACCAUUACUGCAAAAAAAAAAAAAGUUGCUGUUUUUUUCUUUUCUGUUUUUGUGCUUUAUUAAUAGUGAUCUUUGUAUUUUUGUUAGCUUAAGGUCUAAUAUUUACUUCUUCUUUUUUUUUUUUUUUGAAUUUUCUCUUUGGAUUGGAUUAGUGUAAUUGUUGUUAUUAUUAGUAUGCUGGGAAGUGAAAAGUUGAAUUGAAUAUCAAUGAUUUUAAGUUUUGUUCAUAAUAAACUACUACUUGAAUAUUUAGUUCAUGGGUUGAUCUGGAUUUUUCAUUGCAUAAACACUGUCGAUUUGAUUUUUUGCAUUAAUUUCUUUCAUAUGAUUCAUUUUCGGCUUUAUUGCAAACUUCUAGUUGAUGAAAUGUUGUGGUAUUAUUAAGUUGAAUUAUAUGAAUAUGUCGGAUUUUGAAGAAUUUCGAUGUUUUUCCGAUGUUUUGCCGACAGGUUAAAUCGAAAGGAAGUCCGACAUGUUCCGGCUUUCACCUGGUAGGAACCAAAGAUCGAAAGGAUUGAAGGUGAAGCAUGCUCUACAAAUAUGUGUUCUUGUUGGUAUUUGCAUUUGGCUGCUUUACCAAGUUAAGCACUCCGGGGAGAAGAAAGCGAUUUAUGAGAAAUCUGGGAGCGAUGUUGUCAAGUUGGGGCGAAAAGACUUCCCUCGAUCGGAAGGGAUGACUGUUACAGAUGCACGGCAUAAGGAGGAAGAAGAGGAAGAAAGUAAGAAUGGAGAAGAAGAUAAUAAGCCUGAGGUAACCGAAGAUGAAGGAAAUGGGGAAGUCGGUGGGAUGCAUGAGCAUGAUAAUGAGAAACCCGAGGAGGGAACCGAGCAUGAAGAACGUAGGAACGACGAUAACGAAGAGACUAUGGAAAAUGAAAACAAAGGAAAUGAGGAGACUCGUGAAGGCGAUAAUGAAGAGAAAGAGAACAUCGAGGAUAGUCGAGAAAAGGAAAAUAAAGGGAUUGGGGAAGAGAGCAAUGAGACGGAGAAGAGUGAAGGUGAGAUAGAGAAUGCAGGUAGCUCGGAUGAUCGGGUUCGUGAUGGAAUUGAUGGGAAUAAUGAAGAAGCGAGAGAAGAACAUUACAAGGGGGAUGAUGCUUCAAGUGAAGUAGUCCAUGACACCCAAAAUGAGACGAGUGGUUCAGAAAAUUCCAACGAGGCUGAGCAGUUGGAAAACAAAGAUAAGAAUGACCGGGAGGACGAAACAAAUAGCAGUGAAGCGGCCAAUGUCGGUCAUGAAGAGUCGAAUGUGCAAGAAAAUGGAACAGCUGAAAACAAUCAAGAAAGCAGUAAUGGGAGUAACGAAGCCAAGUCUAAAGAAGAUGCACAUCCCGAUACAGCUACGGAAUUGAAUGAGAAUCUGACAGAUACAACACACAGUUCAACCGAGAAUGUAAAUGGUAUGGUUCAGCUAUCUGAGAAAUCGGAUUCAGGUGGGAAUGACGAGCACUCGGAUUCAAAUACAACCCCUACUUCAACUGAGAAUGGGGAUGGAGCUAAUGGAGGUUCUACAAGUAAUUCGGAUUCCGGUGAAUCAAAUGGACAGACUGAAAAAUCGAAUGCCGGAUCAGACAGCAAUUCAAAUGCUGUUCAGAGUGAAGAAUCAAACAAUAAUUCUGGAGGAGAGGGGACACACACAAAUGAAAAUUCAAAUGCUGACCAGAACAGUGGAACAUCGUCGAACACUAAUGAUAAUGCUGGUGCAGGUCAGAAUGAGAAUGAUAGUAGCAAUUCGAACAAUGACGGGAAUGCGAAUGGGAAUGGUGGCAGCACAGACAAUCAGAGCAACACCAAUGGCAAUGUAAAUGCAAAUGAAGAUGUUACUCAAAAGGAAAACAACGAUUCAAGUUCAAAUGAAAAUGCCGCACAGAGCAACACCAGCAACAAAGAAAAUGCGGGUCAGGACGAGAAGAAUGCCACUCAGAGUAACACUGACAACAAUGAAAAUGUGGGUCAGAAUGAGAACAAUGCUGCUCAGAGCAACACUGAGAACAAUGAAAAUGCGGGUCAGAAUGAGAGCAAUGCUGCUCAGAGCAACACCGAGAACAAUGAAAAUGCGAGUCAGAACGAGAGCAAUGCAACUCAGAGCAACACCGAGAACAAUGAGAAUGCGGAUCAGAACGAGCACAAUGCUGCUCCAAGUAACACUGAGAACAAUGAGAAUGCGGGUCAGAACGAGAACAAUGCCACUCCAAGUAACACCGACAACAAUGAGAAUGCAGGUCAGAACGAGAACAAUGUGACUCAGAGCAACACUGACAACAGCAACAGCAACAACAACAACAACAACGAAAAUGCAAGUCAAAACGAGAACAAUGCUGCUCAGAGCAGUAACAACAAUGAAAAUGCAAGUCAGGAUGAGAACAAUGCAUCUCAGAGCUUCACCGACACCACCAACAACAAUGAAAAUACAAGUCAGGAUGAGAACAAUGCAUCUCAAAGCUUCACCGACACCACCAACAACAAUGAAAAUGCAAGUCAGAACGAAAACAAUGCUUCUCAGAGCUACACCGACACCACCACCAACGAGAGCAACGAUGCCAUUCAGACCAAUACCAACAGCAACGAAAACUCAAGUCCAAAUGAGAACAAUGCCGUUCAGUCCUCCAAUAACGAAAAUGCAGGUCAGAACGAGAACGAGAACAAUGCUACUCACAGCUUCAACGACAGCAACGGGAGCAGCAAUUACGACACAAGUACAGAUGGAAACACCCAGAAUAAUCCCGACACUUCUUCAACGAAUCAAGAAGUAAAAGAAGGUGAAACCGGUUUGGGAACUUUGCCAGGUACCACAACAAGUGAGGGAAAUAAAAGUGAGAAUGCAGCUGCAGAAUGAAAUUUAUAAUGGUUUGUGAUUUCAGUAUAUGAACUAAUUACUGUCACUAAAUUUUUGUUUUUCUUCUUUCCUGAUAUGGGAUCGGGAAACUGUAUGUUCCUGGUUACUUGUGCCUUUGUUGUCAUAUUAGUGCUGAAAAUUUUUAUAUUAUUUUGUACUUGUAGAUUUCUAGUUAUAAUAAUUGAAGUUCCCCAGUUUUCAUAUCUUUAUGAGGAUAUAUAUAAUAGGAAAGAAAAUCCUUUUUAGGUUUCUCUUCAAAUGUGUCUCUUGGUGCUUAAAUCAUCCUACAAAAAUAGAACUGCUUGACAUUUGGGAUAAUUACAUCAAAUAUUCUCAACUAGUCCUCAAAUUAUUAAUAUUGUAUUAAUCAGGUCUUUCUACUAGUUUAGCUAUCAAUGCACUUCGAAUUUGACGAAUUAUGGAUUCGAAUAUCCACAUGGAUCUUUUUUUUUUUCGGAUUCGGAUAAUAUUUGGAUUUUAUGAUUAUUAUCUAAUAGGAAUUUGAACUGGAUGUGGAUAGAUGUCUCGGAUAUUCGAUUAUCCAAAUCCGAUUACUUGUUUGGGUAAUGGAUGUAAAUUUAAAUUCAAACACCCAAACCUAGUGGUACAAAAUACUUAUAGUUUUGAUUUUAUAUAUCUAAAAAGAAUUUUACUGUAUUUGAAUUCGGAUUUUUGCAGAUUUGAAAAUUCGAAAAAUGGUUAGAAAUUUUGAAUUUCUUUUUCAAAUUUGAAAAAUGACAAUUUCAAUAAAUUUUAGGACAGUUAUUAUUGUUUUUAAAAAAAGUCAAAUAUAAGUUGUUUAUGCAAUAGGUACACUCUAGACAUAUAGUUUAAGUAGUAUUAAAUGUUCAAGCUAGACAAAAUGACCUAAUCGAUACAAUACAAAUACCUUUAAAAGGAUCCAAUUAAAACCUUUUAAAUUUUGAGGACCAAUGAUGGUAUUAGCCCUUUUUUUCUUUCAAAAUUCCAUGAAUUUAUUGCUUAAAUUGCAAGGACCAAUGGGGUUGGUGAAGCCUGAUGGUGCCUCAAUACCUUAUUAAUGGACAUCCCAACUCCUCCCAUGGUACUUGCUAUUUAUUUUGUUAGGUAAUUCAUAAUUAGUUGCUUUUGUUUUGCUUCAACAUGCAUAUUAUCAUUAAGAAAGACCUGUGGGGAUCUAUUUUUAUGAAAUGAAUUAGAUAAAGUACUAAUUGGUACAAUCAAUUAUAGCUGCAAUGUUUUCAUAUGGAAUUUUCUUUUCUUCCAAAGGACCUAAUCAUGAACAAUCAUUUUCAUUUUAAAAAAUACAACAUGGUGCACUCAUAUGGUAAAAAAAAAAAUUUUUUUGGAUAAUAUAAUUUUUGGCCCCUGAAUUUAGCAAUUAGGUCCACUUUGGUACUUGAACUUGGCAACUAGAUCCAUUUUGGUCUUUGAACUUAGAUCCUAUCAAGAUUUAAUGAUGUGACCAGUAUUACUGAAACAUGAUUAGAUUAGACUUGGAAUUGAUCGAUAUAAUGGUCCGAACAAAGGGUUAAAUCGAUCGACUCGAAAACAGCUUGAAACUGGUAAAAAUUGAAAACCGAAACAAAAAUCAAUAGUUGAAUAAGUUGAAUUGGAUUAAUAUUUUUUUAUGAUUUUUUAAUUAUUAUUUGUUUGGCAGUCGAAUUGGUUGAAUUGGGAAUCAAUGGUCUAGCCUGUUCAACCCGGACCAAUUAUUAAAAUAUUGAAUGUGACACUUUGAGAUUGUAUCACAUCACCACAUAAAAAUUUAUAUUAAUUUUUAAAUUUUCAAGUGAUGAUAUUGUGCUUAGUUGUAAAGUUCAAGUCUCAAAGUGGACAAAAAAUAUAGGUACCAAAAUAAAUAUUGUUGCCAAGUUCAGGGGUCAAAAUUAUAUUAUCCAUAUUUCUUUCAUUUGGUAGGUAAAAGGAUGCGUUGUCAUCUCAUCAAGAGCAUCUUUCGAAAAGAGAGAAAUAUUUUUAAGGUUAAUAUAUUAUUUGGUACCUAUAUUUAGCUUGAAUGUUUAAUUUUGUACUUGAGCUUUUAUGUCCCAAUUUGAUAUUUGAGUUUAACUUAAAUGUUCAAUUUAGAACCUAGGUCAUUUCAAAUUGAUACUUGAGUUUUUCUUUGUCCUAUUUAAGUACUUAAAUUUAACUUCAAUGUUCAAUUUUAUACUUGGGCAAAAGUACCAUUGAGACCCCUAUACUAAGAGUCGGAUAUCAUUUUGCCCCCUCUACUAAAAAAGAUGACAAAUUCAUCUUUGUACAUUAGAUUAAGAAGCAAAUUGGUCCUUUUGAUAAAAAUUCCAUCCAUUUCUACUAUUAAGUUAUAAUUGAUUAUUGUCUACUUGCUUGAAUUAGUCCCUCCACAUAAAAAGUUUCACCCAUUUCACAGUUUAUCAACCAUUCAUUUCUUCUAUUAAAAAUUUCAUCCGAUUUGCUUGAAUUUAUACCUCGAUGACAACAUGAGGUACACGUGGCACGCUAAGUGUCAUUAUUUGGUUGCUCCAUCAAGCAUGUUAGCACUUAACGGUAAAAGGGGAUAUUUUUUUUAAACAGAAAAUCAAUUUACUAUUUAAUCUAACGUAUAAGGAUUGAUUUGCCCAUUUUUCGAGUAUAUGAGUCAAAAUGCAAUUUGACUCAUAGUACAAAGGCCUCCAUGAUACUUUUACCUUUAUACUUAAGUUUUUCUUUUUCUCCCAAUUAAGUACCUAUGCUUUCUUUUCUUUUUUUUUGCUAGAGCACACAUGUCAAACAUUUAUUGGACCGUAUGGUGCUGUUCAGUUUGAGUGCCAAAUUGGAUAUUGAAGCCAAACUCAAAAACCAAAUUAGGACAAAAAAACUCGAAAGCCGAAUUAAACAUUGAAGCCAAAUAUAAAUACCAAAUGAUAUAUUAACCCAAACAUUUAUCUUAGGUCAAUUUUUAACACCAACAUCAAUUGAGUCAGAAUAAAAGAAGAUUAAUGUCUCUUAAAGUAAAAUCUAAAGUCUUUUAGUUUCUUUUUUUAAGUAAGUUUAUGAGUAUUUAAUUUUCUUUCUAUUGAACCCAUGUGAUGGCAUAAUAGUUAAGGGUGUUUACAACCCUAGGUGUAACGUAGGUUCGAAUCACACUAAUUACGUUCGUUAUUUAGGCUUUGCCCUAUUAUUGUAAUUUACAAAAAAAAAACUAUUUUUAUCUAAUUUUCAUAAAAUUAAUCCACAUGUUACGAUUUUAUUUGAGUAUCAAAUUGAAUAAUAAAACUAAACUUAAAUAUUAAAUUAAACAUUGAAACCAAAUUAAAUACAAAAUCACAUGUCAGCCUAGACUUCGUCUCAACAUAAACAAGACAAACUUCAUGGAUUUGGUGCACAUGGUAUUGAUCCAUAUUGAACAUUACCAGUCUUUUGGUCCCAACAAAAGCAUUUUGAUAUUCUAAAUUAAAUUUAAUACCUUAAACCAACUUUAAAUGAUUAUAUUUUUAUGUUCAUCGGUUUUAUAUUUUCAUAAUUACAUUUAAAUUUAAAUUAAGUUAGAAUAUAGAAUUAAUAAUUUCGCAUUUUCAUAUAGAUAUAUUGUAUAAUAUAUAUUUCGUUAAAAAUUUAAAAGCAAAAAAUAUAUGUAUAAUUAUUUUUAAAAAUACCCACUGAAAACUGAUAUCGGUAGGCAUCAAUACUAUAACAAAAACUAUAUAUGCCCAUACUAAUAUUUUGGCUGAAAAAGAAUAUAUCCUUCUUUGAGUAGUUCAUGCAAGCAUUCAAUAGAACCAUAUCCACAACAAACCAUUCAGUAAUCUUAUUAUUUCGAAACAGAGUAUGGUAGGCAGGCACAACCAUAUAGAAAACCUGAUGAACUUGCAAUUCAAAGUCCAGAAACCGGAAAUCGAGUGCUAAAAUUACAAAAGAUCCACAGAAUUAUCUGAUUGAUUUCUCAGAGAAAUGAUAAAAAUGCGCCGAACUCGGAAAGAUAUGCAUCUGUCUGGCCAUCCCUAGUGAUGCUCCUUUGUCUCAAACAGACCAUCCGGACCUGAAUAACAUGAUAAAUAAAACAAUGAAAAGAUUGAAUCGACCGAUUAGAUAAAUGAGUAACAAUAACCUUAAUAUAUGACCAUCCUUGAUUAAGCAUACAUCCACUUCCAAUAUUGGAAAAUUAGAAACUCCAAAUGAUAAUAUUAAAUUUUAUACCUAGAUUCCUUGAUCACUCAUGAACCUAUUUCUUUUAAAUAGGCUCAUCAUCAAUCACAACAAAAAAUGCUUGCUAGGUCAAGGGUGGCCAAGCCUACAACAGCGAGUAAAUAGCAAUGGCCUUGGUAUCAAACUUUACGAAUAAGAAAAUGGUGGUUUUUUUUAGUUCAUAUGCGAUUGUCAAACUCUCCUACCAGUAAUAACAGUUAUCUAGAAAAACAAAAAUAAAAAAGAAGGGCAUUCUUAGAUUAGUUUUUCAUUAAAAUCGCAAAACGAGACACAACCAAAACAUCAUGUUUAUAAGAUUCCUGGGUUAGAUAACAUAAUACAAUUAGAGACAAGCUAAACCCAAUAAUGUAACUGUAAAAAUGAUCAAAUGAAAAUGAGUUUAGACCAGGUCUUAGCAAUUUAUCUAGGAAUUAGGCAUGUGGAAACAUAAGCAAUGAAUGUAAGAUAGGCUGAAAGGAAACUUUUCACCUAGAAUUUAGUUUAGGACAAAAACUAGUGUUAUAGUUAGUAAUCUAACAUAACAUAGGAAGUAAAUACUGCGUUACUUGGCCUUGGGUGUGAAUGUCAGAUAUAGGUAUGUAUCCGACCUUUUCUAAGUUUUUCCAUAUAUUUGGAUGAUCAUUGAAGGUCAAAUCCCCAUAUCCAUGUGUCGGACACAGUUACUUCAGGAAAAAUGAAGAGUCUAAGUAACAUAGAGUAAAUAUCCAACAUGUAACAACAUUCAAAAUAUGACUGCAAAGAUUAGGUGAAAGAGAGGAAAAAGAUGGCCAUUUUUUUCCAUGGGUAGAAGAUGGAAAACUAAUGAUUACUAGUAACCAAAUUAAGUUAAAACAAGACAGACCAUAAUUGGUUGCCGAUAGCAUGUUGGAUGUUUCCAUAUUAAUUGAUGAGCAAAACAUCACUAUGAGUUGGCAACUUUUAAGUCUCCAUAUAAAUUACCUAAGCUAGUGUUUUGGAUGGUUGAAAAAGAAAUUGUUUUGAACAAAAUGAAUAGGAUUUAUUAGCUACUAACCAAAGCCAAUAAAAGUAAAUUUGGUUCUAGUUCUGCCUUAGAAUAUCUAAAAUUGUCUAGAAUUCUUUACAUUUCUCGACCUUUAAGCAAAUGGUGCAAAAUGAAAAGAAAAUCCAGCAAUGUUAUUAGUUAUAAUUUUCAUGGAAAGAUCCCAAAAGAGCCUAAACAGCAAAAUCUAAAUACCAAAAAGAAAAGAAACUCGAACUUAAAUAACUCAAAAAUCGGUAACAAUAAGAUUAACAUACCCCAUGGGAACUCCUUAUUGCGAAUGUGCAAAUAUGGGUAUGCCUGCAAACAUUCAAACAUCAUGACAGCACCCAAUGAUAAAAAUUAAUAACAAAAAUUUUUUUUCUUAAAAUAUAUAACUAAAAUUAAGCAUAAUAAAAGUAAGCUUACAGGAGGCUCUUCAUGGUGGGGAUGACCUUUUGAUAGAUUAUAAAUCGCUAAAACAGUGCAAGUAGCAACACCUAAAUAUGUUAUCUUUUCCCAUUUUGCCGUUUCAUCUGCAAAUAUAUAUAUAUAUAUAUAUAUAUAUAAUUCGUGUUAAAACAAUAUAUAUAUAUGAUUUUUCCAAGCCGUUUUAAGAUUUUCUUUUCCCUAAGAUCCAAAACUACGAUUCUUUUAAUAAUCUAAAUUUUAUUUUACUUACUCUAUUUCUAACAUAGACUCAAUUAAAAUCAAAAGGUUAAACUAGAUAAUAAAACCCUAAAGUAAAAAAAAUAGAACAACUCAAAAUAUAGGAAAUCAAUAUAUUAAUAAUAUAAAAUUGAUCCAAAUCAGAUAAAAUAUUAAAAAAAUAGAAGAAAGGUUGCAUACAAGCAUCAUCGUGAUGAGAAGAGGAAGCGAAGCCACGCUUGGGAGGAGCAGUAGGACGAGAGCCGCCGCGAAGGGCUGCUCGGAGGAGACCAGAUCGCACACUCGCCAUCGCCAUUUUUAUCGAUUUCUUUUUUCUCUACGACUUGAAACCCUUGUUUUCUUAUACGCGAUAUAUUUUAGUCAACAAUUAGAUUAGACCAAACGAGAAGGGUUUCGCACGUGCAAAGUGCGUGGCUUUUGCCCCUUUAUUUCUUGUUUUCUAAAAAAAAUUCUGAUAAUAUUGCAAAACAAAGGUGAUAUAUUUCAUAAAUAUAAAAAUAUAAUAUAAUGGUAAAAAUAUUGUGGAGACUUCUGUAUUAGGAGUCGGAUUUAAUUUUGUCUCUCUACUCAGCAAUUUGAUAAAUUAGUCUAUUUACGUUAGAUCAAAGAACAAAUCGGUCCUUUUGAUAAAAAAUUCAUUCAUUUCUAUAGUUAAAAAUUAGUCUCUGUACACUAGAGUUAUCCAUGGGCUGAAUCGGUCCACCCAAAAAAUCUAUUUCACUGUUUAAAAAUAAAUAAAAUAUUAAAAGCAUAUUUUUAUUUGAUAUUCUAUAUAUUUUAUAAUUAAAUUUAAAUUUAAAAAAAUUCAUUAUUUAAAUUGAAUUCGAGUCAGGUCGAAAAGCAAAAAUCCUUAUCCAAGCCUAGCCCAAGUUGGGUUGGGCCUAUAGGAGCGGGUAGCCUACCCGACCCUUGGACAGGACUACUAUACACUAGCAUAAGAUACACGUGACAAACCACAUGUAACUGUCUAAUUAUUCUAUCAGCUAUGCCAAUUUUUAACAGAAAAAAUGGAUGAAAAUUUUAAUAGAAAUGAUUAGUUUACUCUCUAAUCUAAUGCAUAUGGACUAGUUUACUAAUGUUUUAAGUAAAAAGAACAAAAUAUAAUCUGACUCCAAGUACAUAGGCUUCCAUAAUACUUUUACCAAAUAUAAUAUGCUUAAAUAUCUAUACUAUAUCUAAUUUGCCUAACUAAAUUGAUGUCAGGAAUCGAUUGACACCAUCUUAAUUAGAUAAAUUAUUUAAUUUAUUUUUAAUAAAAUAAUAAAUAUUAAUAUAAUGAUAUUUUUCUAAAUAUUGAACUUAGGUUAUGAUUUUUUUUUUCAUAAUUACCUUACCGCUUUGUUUACUAUUCAAUUAUUGAAGAAUCUUUUAUAAAUAUAUUUUUAAUAUUAACUUGUUAUAAAAUCAAGUGAUAAUAAUUAAAAUGUAUCAUAAUUUUAUUUCCAAUACACUUAAUAAUGAGAAACACAAAACACUAUAUGCAAAAAUGCAAAUAAAUAUCAUAAAAAAUAUAAUUAUUUAUCUUUUUUCUAAUUCUCAAUUGCGAUUUUUAAAAAAUAUAUAUGAUAGCAAGAUAAAUUUGUAUUUUAAUAUAUUUAUAUUUAGCUAAUUAUUAAAUAAAAUGCUAUUAAAUUUAGAUUUUUCUUAUCAAGAAUGAAGUUGAUAUGCUAAAUUUAAACUCUUAAAAAGGAAAGAGCUAAAUUGGAACAAAAAGCAAGGCUUGAUUGAAAGAUUGAAGAUUCAAAUAUAAUUGGAUAAGGGUUGAAGAUUUUUUUUAAGUGGCCGGAUGAAGAUUAAAAGAUUUUUUAUAUUGUUACAACUCUAUAAUUAGUUUAAAUUUGAUUUUUAAUUUUUGAAUUAUUUAGUGAUAAUUUUUAGAAUUAUUUAGUGAUAAUAUUUACAAAAAUUCUAGCUAAAUUUUAGCAUUAAAAGUGUGUAUAAAUACCUAGUGACUACAACCAAUUGACGUUUAAUAAAUUCUCUAUUUUUUUUUCCUCUCCUGCGUCUUUGCCAUUCAAUUUUGCAGUUUCAAUUGUUUUUUUUGUUUUGAUUUCAACCUUUUGGUUUAAUUUUCUUCUAAGGCCUUUCCCUUUUCUACUUUUCAAAAUUCCACUUAAACCAUUUAUUUUCAAGCAUGAUUUUUUCCAUGAUUAACUAAACCCUUUUUAGCUUUAGCCUGAAAAUUGCUCCAACAAAAUAAUCGUGAGAUACGAACCCACUCAAAAAAAUCUCUCAAUUCGGUAUUCGUUAUCUCUCCGGUAUAUGGGAUAGUAAAAAUUCAUCCCUCAAAAUUGAUUCAAUUUCAGCUCAAAAAACGUGCAUUAGGCUGCAAUCAUUUGACAUAGAAUUGGGAAGUUGAGUCGGCGGUGAUGUAUUCAAAAUCCCGCGAACAAAUUGGCGUGUUCAAUUGAAAAAAGCUAGUUGGAUUCUGUUAAGGGAGAUAGUGAUCGGAUUUAAACGACCCACAUGGUUGGGGCCGUUAAUUUGAGUUGGGCUUUUCAGAUCGUAAGGCUGUCGAAGUCUUAAAUUACGGGUACGUGCCACGUGGUUGGAAAUUCAACAAGGGUCGAUUUGCAGGUGAUACCGAGAUCGAAUACGAAAGAAAAAGUUGGCAGUUUGAGAGAUCCUUGAUUGUUAUAACAAGCUAAUCGCUUGGAAGGGAAAUUUUGUUUCAAGGAUCGAUUCAAGAUUGGAGUAUACUGAAGCUAAGACUAAGAUUAAAAAAUAUUUUAUUUAUCUAUUUAUUUUAUUUUCUUAAUUUUAUUUUUGCAUUUUCGAAUAUAUUUUAUUUUAUUUUUUGUAUUUCCUUAUUUUAUUAUCUUAAUUAAUAUAAAACCCCCAUUUUUAUUUUCUAGCGUUGCAACACACUAGUCGUGGACAUGACUAUUACUACAACAAUAAUUCUGGUUACAAAAAAGGCGAAAUUAGACAACCAGUCCCUAUAGAUUCGACCCUACUACUCUACAUUUCAAUUUAUUAUUAUUUUGUCGUAGAAAUUUAUAUUUGGUGAUUUUGACACCCAUCAAAUUUUGGCGCCAUUGCUAAAGAUUGGUGAAAAUUUCUAAUUUUUGUUUGUUUUAUUUAUAACCAGUUCAAAAUCGGGGACUCUAGCACUUGAGCUAGAGAUAGAAAAGUUGGCUCGAACACUUUGAAGAGAAGCUAUUCGGUGCGGUAAACAACCACAACCUGACUUUGAAGAAAGAUCUUACACCGGAGAUAUUUACUCAUCUGAAGAUUCAGACGAAAUAGCAAAUUAAACUAUACACCAACUUGUAGCUGUACCAGAUGAAUAACAACCGCUAUGCAUAACUUAUCCGGCAGGCGAAACAUUGUUCGAGUUAAAGUCGGGAUUAAUACAUUUAUUGCCUACUUUCUGCGGUUUGAAAAACGAGAACCUCCAUACUCAUUUGAAAGAGUUCCACAUGGUUAGUCUGAGCAUGAAACUAGAAAAGGUAACUAAAGAUCAAAUAAAACUACGAGCUUUUCCUUUUUCAUUAGCCCACUCCACUAGAGAGUGGCCUUUUUAUUUACCUUCAGGAUCUGUUAAUACUUGGACUGGUAUUUCUUGAUUAUUUCUUGACAGGUUUUUCCCAGUAGCUGGAGCAGCUGAAUUAAGGAGGAGUAUAGUCGGAAUACAACAAAAAGAAGCAAAGUCACUUAAUGAAUAUUGGGAGCAAUACAAUAAGUUGUGCGCAAGUUACCCACAACAUGGCUUGUCUAAACAGUCGCUCUUACAGUAUUUUUAUGAGGGGUUACUCUCAAUGAGAAUGAAGAUGAUUGAUGUCGCUAGUGGAGGGACUCUUGUGAACAUGACUCCCCAAAGAGUUAGGGAAUUAAUUUCGACCAUGGCUGCAAAUUCUCAAUAGUAUCGACCACUUAUGGAACCUACAAGAAGGGUUCAUGAGCUAAGUACUCCUUCAAUAGUAAAUAAGAUUGAUGAACUUACUAAUGUGAUUAGAAGUAUGCUUGUAGGAAAAUCGAACCCAACUCGGUUAUGCGGGAUUUGCGCUCAGCCUGAUCAUCUAACUAACUCGUGCCCAAUUUUACUUGAAGACACAACUACACAAGUAAAUGUCGUUGGGAACUUCCUAGGGCCACCUCAAAGGCGUUCUGAUCCAUAUUUAAGCAUGUACAAUGCAGGGUGGAGGAAUCAUCCAAACCUGAGCUAUAGGUCGAACCCUCAAUACAAUCAACAAUAUCAAUCAAGAAUACCCCCGUCUCAACAAUAUCAACCUCCAAAGUCAUCUCUUGAAGUUAUAGUAGAGAGGUGAGUCGUUGGCACUGAAAAGUUCCAACAAAAGGCUGAAGCACAUUUCUAAGAACUAGAUCAACAAAUAAGUAAGUUAGUACUUACGGUUAGUCAUUUGGAGAACCAAGGAAAAUUGCUAUCUCAAACCGAGCCAAACCCAUGUCAAAAUGCAAGUGUUGUGACCGUAAAAGAUGGGAAAGAGUCAAAACUAGUGCCUAGCACAAGUCGUGACCAUAAUGUUGAACAGGAAGUCAAACCAACAACUCUCACUGAGUCGGCACUUCUUAAACCAUUUGUUGUACCUCACCCAUACCCUGGAAAGCCGCCCAAGUUAAAAAGGAAUGAGAGAAAAAAGAAAUCCUUGAGACAUUCCGAAAGGUAGAAAUUAAUAUUCCUUUACUUGAUGCAAUUAAACAGAUUCCACGUUAUGCAAAAUUUUUGAAAGAACUGUGUACCGAAAAAAAGAAGUUGCAAGGAAAUGAAUGGAUGAAUAUGGGAGAAAAUGUUUCUGCGGUGUUACAAAGGAAAAUCCCACCUAAGUGUAAGGACCAAUGUAUGUUUUCUAUAUCCUGCAAAAUAGGUAAUAUUAGCAUAAUGAAAGCCAUGUGUGAUUUGGGAGCAUCUAUUAAUGUAAUGCAUUUAUCUAUUUUUAAAUUACUAAACACGGGUCAUUUGAAAGAAAUUGGGGUGAUUAUUCAAUUGGCAGAUAGGUCAUGCAUAUAUCUAGAAGGGGUGCUAAAAGAUGUCCUCGUAAAGGUAAAUGAACUAAUUUUUUCCUGCAAACUUUUAUAUCAUCGAUAUGGAGGACGACCACUCAAAAAAUGCUUCUGAUAUUUUACUUGGGAGACCAUUCCUAAGUACCGUGUGUACAAAUAUUGAUUUCGAAGUGGAACCCUCACUAUGGAAUUCGAUGGUGAGGUGGUAAAAUUUAAUGUUUAUGAGGCGAUGGCCAACCCAAUACAAUGUCGAACAUUUCUAGUGUUGAUAUUAUUGAACCACUAACGAAAUUUUAUUUUGAGUAUCAUGAAGGGGAUGGGUUGCAAAUUGUACUUUGCAAGAGUUUAGACCUUGAUACGAUGGAUAAAUUAGAGGAGUUAAUGACGUUCAAAGAACUGAUUCGUGAAACCGUUAUUCUAUUGGAGACUCCACAAUUUCCUAGAAGUCAAGGUAAAUAUUUUAAACUUUCUCCUUCUAAAACUAAAUUCUUGCAUUCUGUUUUGCAGGCUUUGGAAUUGGAACUCAAACCGUUACUUGAACAUUUAAAGAUUCUGAUAAAGGAAAAGGCAAACCCAAACAGAGAAGCUCAAAUACGCCUUAAUCCACCAAUAAUGGAGGAAUUCCAAGUGCACAUAAUGAAAUAAUUAAUUCUUAAGAAACCAAACGAAUAACUCUCAGGUCGUCGAGCUAACGCCGUUAAACAAAAGGGCAUUAUGGGAGGCAACCCACAUUUAUUUUUAUUUAAUUUAAUUUAAUUUAAUUUUGAAUUUUAGUUUAGUUUGAGAAUUAAAUAAAAUAUUAUUUUAAUCUGUUUGAUCGUGUUGUUUUCCAGGAGCAACCACCUUCAGCUGUAGACGAACGACUUCAUCGCAUUGAAGCUUGCUUCAAAAUAAUAAAAGCCAACAUCUCAAGCAUCCUCACCGUUCUACAAAGUGAUCACUUCCAUCGCUCUCCGGCCCAUUAAAUAUAAACGGGGAGUACACUUUCUCCAUUCAUAUUAUUCUUUUUACACAUUGGGGGCAAUAUGGGCUAAGUAGGGGGAAUUUUGAAUCAUGAUAAACUUUUUUUUUUGCAUGUGUUUUGUUAAGAAUAAAUUUUUUUAAUUCAUUUCAAAAAUAAAUAUCUAAUUCUUAUGUUCAGUUUACUUAAAUAAGUGGGUGAACCAUGAAUACUAUUGCUUGCUUGAUCAAUGAAUAUUUUGUAGAAUUGAAAAUGUUAUGCCUUAGUCGAUAUUUCAUGAAAAAUUAUUAGUUUUGUUGAACUUGCGUAAUGAAAGCACUAGAUUAAAUAAAUAAAUAAAUAAAUAGCUUGGUUAAGAGUGAAGAUUCAAAAAUGCGACCAAGUUGAGUAACUAGGAUGAGGUGCUUGGGUUGUCAUCUCAUUUCGCGUUAAAAGGUUUGGUAACGAGCCGAAGCUUGUAACACUCUACUAAUCAAGUUGCCUUGAGAAAUAAAUCGAUUAGGGGCACGUGAAACUGAGUAACCAGGAUGAGGAGUUUGAGUUGUCAUCUCAUUUUGCGUCAAAAGGUUUUAUUAUGUCUUGAAUUCGUUAAAAAAAUUAAAUAAAGAGAACAUGUUAGGUUGAGUAACCGGGGUGAGGUGUUUGGGUUGUCAUCUCACUUCGCGUCAAAAGACUUGAUUAAGUUUGAAAAAAAAUGUAUAUAGAUAUAAAUAAAAACAUAUAUUGAGUAUGACUGUUUUGCAUGUUUGAUUGAGCCUAAAUUUAGUGAAAUAGUUGAGUUUGACAUACUAUUUGAGAUUUUAUAAAAUGCUUAGUGAUUGAGUUUGUAACACCCCAAACCUGGCCUAGACGUUAUGGUCGGAUCUAGCGAUGUCACAUGAUAGGGUGUUUGAAAACUGUGUCGUCGCAUUAAAACCAUUCCCAUUGAGUUCCUUAUCUUAAUAUCUUAGUAGUUCCAAAAUUGUGUUGCUCAUUUAAUCGAUAGUUUCAAAACGUUAUUCGUUUGCGAAAACUUUUAAAACAGAUUAAACAAUCGUGCGUUUAGGAAAAACAUUUGUUUCUUUUAAAAAUCGAGGUUUCCUACUACUAGCAGUUGUAAUCCAUAAGGUAAAGAUAAUUAAAACCCAAAACCAAAGUCCGAAAGUCCAAUUACAACCCAAAAACUUAGCCAGUAAAAAUAGAAUAGAAAUAAAACUAAUUAUCGAAAAUAUGAGUUAAAAACCAUGAAAGUCCAAAACCGUGGUCAUCGCCGAGUCCUCCGUCGCACCGAUCCGUCUAGAUCUGGGGACUACCUGUGCACAUUUAAACAAAAGAGGUGAGUUUAUGAAAACUCAAUAUGUAAUCCCACAGAAAACAAACAAUAGCAAAUCGCAGUGCAUAGUUAAUGCAGUCCUGGGCCUAAGCCCUUUUUCAGUAUCAGUAACAGUUUGGGCCUUAGCCCAUCUCAGUACAGUAUCAAAUAUGCAGUAGGGCCUUAGCCCAUCACAGUAUCAGUAGCAGUCAUGCAGUAUUCAGUAACAAAGUCCUACCCAACCAGCCUCUACACACCAUCUCCGUCUAACCCUACACUCCAUGUGGGGAUCAAAUCAACCCACCCAUCCCUACACUCCAGGUAGUACCGAAUGCGGCACAAAACAAUAAUUUCCAGCUGAGCUGCCAGUAUCUUAGGCUUAAGAGUCUUUCAGUACACUUCCUCCAAAUAUAAUCAACGCAACCCCAUGCAAUGCAACAUACAAGUCAUGACAUGCUAUCUCAGGACAUCAGUACAUAUAACCAAUUCAGUAUACAAGCAUACUAUCAUCAUGCUUAACACAUAUAUAAAUCAAACAAUCAGUUCGUAUAAUUAAAGUUCUAAGUGAUGCUUACCGACCCUACAGUAGGUUCACAGUCGACUUGGGCGACCCGUGCAACCUUAGCAAUCAAUUCAGUGAUAAUGGGCUCACACGCCCAUGUGGUCUGCCCGUGUAGGCCCACACGCCCGUGUGGCCCACUCGGCCCAAAUUGGCCUUGUCCGCGUGGUCCAUUUUUAAUAUAACCCGUGCUAACUAAAUAUUCAUAUAUGUUUUCACUAUUUACUUAUAUGUUCCUUCAAAGCUAUCUACUUGAGUCACUGUUACUAAAUUAUUUAUAUCUUGAGCUACAGAAUUCCAAAUUAAGGUCUGCUUGAUGUCUUUGAAACUAGACUCAAAUAUCUUCAUACCAUAAAAUUUUCAGAAUUUUUGGUUCAGCCAAUAAGUAUAGUAAAAUCUUCAAUCUUACCCUUGUUCUGCUAUCUGACAGCUUCGACCUCUCUUUGCUAAAAAUUAAUUAUCUCUUAGUAAAAGAUUUUGAUGAUGUUACCAUUUGUUUCUAUAGAAAAUAGACUCAUUAAUAAUUUAAACAUGUAAAUUUUAACCCUUAAUUAUUUUUCUCCAAUUUUUUAUGAUUUUCUAAAGUCAGAACAGGGGAACCAUAAUUCAUUCUGUUCUUAUCUCACAGAACUUAUUAUAUCUCAUGAUUUACAAUUCCAUUACUUACACAAUUUCUUCUAUAAGAAACUAGACUCAAUAAGAUUUAAUUACAUAUUUUUUCAUCCUCUAAUUCGAUUUUCACAAUUUAUGGUGCUUUUUCAAAUUUAGCCUACUACUGCUGUCCAAACAGCAAGCAAUUUUAGUUUUUCGCCGAAUCCUAUUUUCUGCAUUCGGGGUACACACCUGGUUUUGUUUGAUGCUAAAACAGUCCCCGAGCACUACAAAACCUAUAAUUGAAAAAAUAACACUAAUUUAAUCUCACAUAACAUGAUCCCAAAUUGAACUCGUAUCGAGAUUUUAACCCAUAAGCGACUAAACCUUACCUUCAACCGAUGAACAGUAAUUCCCACACUAAAUAAGACUUUGAUUGGUGAUUACAAGCCUUUGAAUCCUCCCCUAAUUAGCAUAAAUAAAACACUUUAGAAGAAAGUUAACAAACAAAGAAAAAUCACUUAUCUAAAACUUACCGAAUGAUCGUAGAAAAACGUGGAGUGACAUGAGGCAGAGUGGGAAAAGAAAAAUCAAGAAGAUGAAGGGUGAAAGAGAGCAGAAAUUCGGCAACAAUGAAGAGAAAAACGGCCAAAGGGUGGAGGGAUUUUGGGGAAAGUGAAAAAAAAAAGAUAAACAAAAUAUUUGAUAACCACCCCAAUCCCUUAUUUCUCUCCAUCAAACUCCCUAGUAAAUCUAUUACUCUUUUGGACACACGAGCAAAAAUAAUGCCCAUGCCAAGAUUCAAACAUAGGACCUCCUUCACACCAACACUCCACUUAUCCACCAAACCAAGAGGCUUUCUCUAUUUAUUAUUUGCCAACUUUUACUUAAAAGCCUACUGACCAAAGAUAGAAAUUAUUCAUAAAAAUACCAAAAUUUGCCAAAGUCCUGGCUUGAACUUAACACCUCCCAAAUACACCAAGAACACAUAGCCACUAAAGCAGACAAAUAUUUUGUCACACAUUCACAAUACCCAAAAAUAAAAUUUUGGGGCGUUAGAAUGUUUAGCAAUUGUUUAUUUUUGAUUCACCUAAUUGUUUGAUGUGUGCUUGACUAGGAAAGGGGGUUUUGAUUUUGAAAGGGAUUGACAAAUUAUUUUUAGUGGAUAUCAUGCUUGAGGACAAGCAUCGGUUAAGUAGGGGGAAUUUGAUAGCAAGAUAAAUUCGUUUUUUAAUAUAUUUAUUUUUGGCUACUUGUCAAAUAAAAUGCUAUUAAAUUUAGAUUUUUCUUAUCAAGAAUGAAAUUGGUGUGUUGAAUUCAAACUCUUACAAAAAAGACUAAAUUGGAACAAAAAGCAAAGAGGAGGACUUGAUUGAAAGAUUGAAGAUCCAAAUAUGAUUGGAUAAAGAUUGAAGGGUUGAAGAUUUUUUUUAAGUGGCUGGAUAAAGAUUGAAAGAUUUUUUUGAUAUUGUUAUAACUCUGUAAUUAGUUUAAAUUCUAGUUUAAAUUUGAUUUUUAAUUUUUGAAUUAUUUAGCGAUAAUAUUUAGUGAUAAUAUUUAGGAAAAAUUUAGCUAAAUUUUAGCACUAAAAGUGUGUAUAAAUACCUAGUGGCUACAACCAAUUGAACACACUUUGCUUUGGUAUUUAAUAAAUUCUCUAUUUUUUUCCCUCUCCUGCGUCUUUGCCAUUCAAUUUUGCAGUUUCAAAUUUUUUUCUUUUGAUUUCAACCUUUUGGUUUAAUUGCCUUCUAAGGCCUUGCCCCUUUCUACUUUUCAAAAUUCCACUUAAACCAUUUAUUUUCAAGCAUGAUUUUUUCCAUGAUUAACUAAACCCUUUUUUUAGCUUUAGCCCAAAAAUUGCUCCAACAAAACAAUCAUGAGAUACGAACCCGCUCAAAAAAAUCUCUCAAUUCAGUUUUCGCUAUCUCUCUAGUAUAUGGGAUAGUAAAAAUUCGUCCCUCAAAGUUGAUUCAAUUUCAACUCAAAAAACGCGCGUUGGGUUGGAAUUGUUUGGCGUACAGUCGGGAAGUUGAGUCGGUGGUGUUGUAUUCAAAAUCCCGCAAACAAAUUGGUGUGUUCAAUUGGAAAAGGAUAGUUGAAUUUUGUCAAUGGAGAUAAUGAUCGGAUUUAAAACCCACACGGUUGAGGCCGUUAAUUCGAGUUGGGCUUUUCAGAUCGCAAGGCUAUCGAAGUCUUAAAUUACAGGUACGUGCCACGUGGUUGGAAAUUCGACAAGGGUCGAUUUGCAGGUGAUAAUUGGAUCGACUACGAAAGGAAAAGUUGGUGGUUUAAGGGAUUCUCGAUUGCUAUAAUCAGUUUAUCGCUUGGAAAGGAAAUUUUGUUUCAAUGAUCGAUUCAAGAUUGGAGUACACUGAGGUUAAGGCUAAUCUUAAAAAAUAUUUUAUUUAUCCAUUUAUUUUAUUUUCUUAAAUUUAUUUUUGUAUUUUCGAAUAUAUUUUUAUUUUAUUUUAUUUUUUGUAUUUCCUUAUUUUAUUAUCUUAAUCAAUUUAAAAUCCUUAUUUUUAUUUUCCAGCGUUGGAACGCACUAGUCGUGGACACGACUAUUACCGUGACAACAAUUCUGGUCACGAGAAAAGAUGAAAUUAGACAACGAGUUCUUGUGGAUUCGACCCUACUACUCUAUAUUUUAAUUUAUUGUUAUUUUAUCGUAAGAAUUUAUAUUUGGUGAUUUCGACGGCCAUCAAUAUAUAUUAAUAAUUAUAAAAGAAAAAAAAUUAAUAAUGACAUACUUAAAUGUACAAUACAUUCAAGCUUGAACAUGUAGUUGAGUUACCUGACAAAAAUAAUAACUUGUACGUAUCAAUGAGUUUAGAUUUUCCAUUCAAUUAAACUAGUACAAUUUUCACGCCUAGGGUUGACAGUUUAUUUGUGUUAAAUUAUGAUGUCUAAAUUUGAAAGCUAAAAUAUAUUUUAAUCCUACUUUUAUUUUCAGAAAUUUAGAUAAGACCUUUUAGAUUUAAAAAAAUUAGGUCCAAAUGUUACUAUUGUUAUAAUUCUUCUAUUAAAUUCACUAAUCUAAUAUUUUGAAAUUAAAAAAAAUCACUUGGUAAUCGUGUAAUAAUAUAAAAGUGUAACCGUUAAACUCCUUAUUAGAACCCAAAAAUCAAAAUUUAGUCCAUGUUAACAAUGAAGUUGGGAGUUCAAUUCUUAUCCAUGAGAAUGAAGUACAUUUCAUUACUUAUUUACUUCAUUGAAAAACACCCUAUAACAAGAAGAUUAAUCAUUGUUACAGACAAUAAAUACCUUAAUUUCAAUUAAAAAAAUCCAUAUUAUGAUAUUGUUGACUUCUUGUAUUUAAUGCACCAUUAGGGUCAAGCCUAGAGGUGCUCAUGGGCCGGGCCCAGGAAAAAAAUUUUGGCCCGGCCCGAAAUAUGGGCCUAGAAUUUUGCCCAGGCCCGGCCCGGGNNNNNNNNNNNNNNNNNNNNNNNNNNNNNNNNNNNNNNNNNNNNNNNNNNNNNNNNNNNNNNNNNNNNNNNNNNNNNNNNNNNNNNNNNNNNNNNNNNNNNNNNNNNNNNNNNNNNNNNNNNNNNNNNNNNNNNNNNNNNNNNNNNNNNNNNNNNNNNNNNNNNNNNNNNNNNNNNNNNNNNNNNNNNNNNNNNNNNNNNNNNNNNNNNNNNNNNNNNNNNNNNNNNNNNNNNNNNNNNNNNNNNNNNNNNNNNNNNNNNNNNNNNNNNNNNNNNNNNNNNNNNNNNNNNNNNNNNNNNNNNNNNNNNNNNNNNNNNNNNNNNNNNNNNNNNNNNNNNNNNNNNNNNNNNNNNNNNNNNNNNNNNNNNNNNNNNNNNNNNNNNNNNNNNNNNNNNNNNNNNNNNNNNNNNNNNNNNNNNNNNNNNNNNNNNNNNNNNNNNNNNNNNNNNNNNNNNNNNNNNNNNNNNNNNNNNNNNNNNNNNNNNNNNNNNNNNNNNNNNNNNNNNNNNNNNNNNNNNNNNNNNNNNNNNNNNNNNNNNNNNNNNNNNNNNNNNNNNNNNNNNNNNNNNNNNNNNNNNNNNNNNNNNNNNNNNNNNNNNNNNNNNNNNNNNNNNNNNNNNNNNNNNNNNNNNNNNNNNNNNNNNNNNNNNNNNNNNNNNNNNNNNNNNNNNNNNNNNNNNNNNNNNNNNNNNNNNNNNNNNNNNNNNNNNNNNNNNNNNNNNNNNNNNNNNNNNNNNNNNNNNNNNNNNNNNNNNNNNNNNNNNNNNNNNNNNNNNNNNNNNNNNNNNNNNNNNNNNNNNNNNNNNNNNNNNNNNNNNNNNNNNNNNNNNNNNNNNNNNNNNNNNNNNNNNNNNNNNNNNNNNNNNNNNNNNNNNNNNNNNNNNNNNNNNNNNNNNNNNNNNNNNNNNNNNNNNNNNNNNNNNNNNNNNNNNNNNNNNNNNNNNNNNNNNNNNNNNNNNNNNNNNNNNNNNNNNNNNNNNNNNNNNNNNNNNNNNNNNNNNNNNNNNNNNNNNNNUAUUUUGGCCCGGGCCCGGCCCGAAUAUAAUAAAUAUUUUUAUUAUUUUUUAUUUUUUUAAUUUUAAAAUACUUUUAAAAUACUUUUAUUAAAUUUUUUAAAUUUUAAAUUUUUUUUAAAAAUACUUUUUUAAUUUUUUUAAUUUUAAAAUAUUUUUAAAAUAAUUUUUUUAAUUUUUAUUUUAAUUUUUAAAAUAAAUUUUGGUAUUUAUUUAAAAAACGGGCCGGGCCCGGGCUUAUGAUUUUUUUCUCGGGCCGGGCCUGGGCAAAAUUCUAAGCCCAUAUUUCGGGCCGGGCUUGGCCCGGGCCAAAAUUUUUUUCUGGGCCUGGCCCGAACCCGGCCCGGCCCAUGAGCACCUCUAGUCAAGCCGCAGUAGUUGGGUCAGGUAUAGAAGAAAGGCCACGGAGACCAAGCCACCACUGCCGAUUCCCCCCUCGCCUUUACUCACAUAGUCACACUCAAACACUAAAUUAUGGAUUGACCUUGAAGCCUUCAUGGAAGGGGCCAAGUCCAUGGCACUUUGAUGACAAUGGUUUUUUUGUAAUGGAGCUCACAAGCCAUUGAAAAUGAAAGGGGUUGGGUUGUGUUUUUCUUAACGGCAUUAAAUUUAUUAGCUUCAUUCACACCAAACUCUUAGUUUACAAUUUGGAAUAGACUUGUACAUUGGUCAGGCUACUUACCUAGGCUCGAAGGCCUACUCAAUAUUUAAGAGAGUUUCAACAAAAAUGUUAGGCUCGAAAAAUGAAUUUGAAAAAAAAAUUAGGUCCGUUUAAAAUAUGAGUUUAAUUCAGACUUGAAUAUUCAAGACCCGAAUCCGACUCGACCCAUGAGUACCUGGGAAUAUGAAGAUUUUGAUUUUUACUCUGAAUUGUUCAAAUAUAUUUUGUUGAUAGGUUUAAUAGUGCCCCUGGUCAUUUUACUUUUUGAGCUUUUAAAAUUUAGUCUUUUUUUUUUACUUUUAAUUGCAAAAAUUCAGUCUCUCGACUUGUAUAAAUUAAAAUCUAAUUCAUAACACUGGAAAUGAACUUCCAUUAAAAUUGAAUGUGUAACAAUUUAAUAUUAGAAAGUUUUAUUUAAGAAUUAAAAUUAUAACACCCCAAAAAAAGAAUGAAUUAAAGUUUUAAUUGAUAAAAUAUAUACAAAAUUUCACAAAAAGUUAACCAAUACUUUAAUUUUUAAAUUAAGGAAAUAAAAGGACUAAAUUUCAAAAGUAUGAAGAAUACAUACCCGUAGCAUAAUUAUACCUUUAUUGAUACAACAUAUCACAACUAUAUAUUAACAUGUAAAAUACACGGAAUUAUGAAAGCGAAGUGGCUGGAUUGGGUUUUCCAACGGCUUUCAAUUUAUUGGCUUCAGUCAGCAUUCAGCUCAAAGUUCUUAGCUGGCAAGUAGAACUUUCUAUGAAUCACACUUUGAUUUUAUCUGUGAGCUGUAAUAAUUAUUAAAAUAUAUAUUUGACAUCGUUUUAGAUUUAUUUAUAGGUGUUUUUUUUACUGUAUUUAAAGAGUUAACUAUCACUUUUUUAUUGUCAAUUGAGUUUUAUCUUGAUUGAUAUAAGUAUUGUUGUUAAUGCAGGAAAUCGUGGAUUCGAGUGCGCAGAAGUACAUUAUCCUCCUAUUUAUGAGUUAGAGAUGGGCUAUGAGUAGUUCUAAACAUUGUGUCAAAAAAAAGUAGAUAUGAUCAUAAGAUUAUUAUAUAAAAAAAACUAUCAACAAGCGUAAAAUUGUCGGAAACUCAUUCUUUUUUUUUUGGUACAAAAAGAAGGAAACAAGAAAACUAAAUUCGAAUUACCCCCUCUCCACAAGCAUCGCUAUAGAAAGGGUUCAAGACUCGCCGACGGCGACUCAAGAUGAACCAGACCUCUCUCAAAGUUCUGAGCUAAAUUUGUCAAGUGGUCCACGCAACUAUUUCCUUCACGAUGAAUGUGUCAAACCUCAAUCACCCAUCCUUCAUUUAUCGAGUUAAGGCAAUCUUUAUCGAAAGUACCUAGCAGAUGAUUAUUCUCAAAAUGUUGUCGGAGGAAUUGUACCACUAGUAGCACAUCUAACUCCACCACGACCUGACGAAUUCCCAAGGAUUUUGCGAGACAAAAAUCGGCUCAAACCCCCAUACCUCUACCUGUAUAGGUUGUUUGUUAUCCCUAAUUCACCAUAAAUCCUCCAAUCCAAUAAGCCUCGCUAUCUCUGAUAAGACCUUCGAUUGAAGCUAAGCAUGAGCGAGAUUUUACAGUCCCAUCUGAGUUGAGAAUGUAACUUCCUUAAGGUGGUUUUGUCCAUUUAAUCCAAAAUGGUCUUCGAACUAACCUUGGCAUAACAACACUCAUGGCAACAAAGAUGUAUGUAGCAAACUUCUAAGCAUAUUGACACUCGCAAACCUAUUGACCAUCUCCUAUUCUCCAUUUGCAGCCAGAUUUGAUAACGGGUUACGUCCUUAAAAUCCCACGCCAAGUAGAAGAAGCAUUCGACUUUUGUUCCACCUCCAUGAAGGAUGCAGCUAGCAGAUAUUUCUUCCAGAAAACAUCGCACCACAAGGAAUUCUGCUUGUUAAAGAGACUCCAAGCAGCCUUUGAUAACAUGGCUAGAUUAUUUAGUAAAUAACAAGCAUUACUAUGAGGAUAUUUCUAUCAUUUUAUAUUUAACUCUAGAAAAAUCCACAUUAUGAUAUUUGAAACUAAAAUACCAUGGUGUUUAAUAUCUUAGGUUUACCAUUUCAACUAAAGUCUCAUUUAUUUGUUUUGUUAAGUUUUUAUAAAUAUAUUUGUUAUAAAAAAAAAUUAUACCCACAUUAUGAGUGUGUCGUAAUUAAUUUUUAUGACCGUAAAAUAUAUAUUAAAGAUACAUUAAUUUCACAUAAAAAUUAACUAUAUGAUGAGAUAAAGUUAAAAAAAAUUUAAAUUAUAAUAUAAAAAUUAAAGAAACAUGAUCGAAUAAUCAGAACUUAAUUCAAAAUAAAAUCUUAUUUAUAAUGUUAUUAAUCACAUUGAAACCCUCUAUCAUAACAAAAUUAGGAGGGGAUUUAAAACUAUUUCCUUCCCAUCACUUCCUUAUAAAUACUAUAACGUGUGACAAAAAAAAGAAGUUAAACCUAUCACACUAGAGGCAAAUAAGUUAAACUUAUCGCACUGAAGACAGAUAGGAACCUUAGCCUAUUGAUGUUUAAAUACACAGCUUGAAAUUAAAAAGGAACCAUUGACCAAAAUAUUAAACUAAAUUUAUAUUAGACCAUGAAUUAUUGACAAAAAUUUUUUUUAUUUACAAUAAAAAUGCUAGAUUUUUAUAUAUGUAUCACAUGUGAAAAAAAAAUAAUUUACAAAAAUAAUUAAAAUGUUUGUAUAAUGAAAGUAGUAUUGCAUUACACGUAUUGUGAGGUGAGGUCCAUUAUAGUUACAGUGUCUGCACUUUAAUCCACCGUUUGGUUCUGCAUUUCUGAUGAUCAUCAUGCCUCAUCAAUGCAACAGCUAUUGGGCGAUCGAAGUUCCAAAUACAGGCUUUCAUCACCGUCGAUAUCGUCAAGAUCAAGCGAGUACACGACAUCUUCCCUACUCCAACCCCCACGCAAUAACACAACCGACGAAACCCGCGUAUGCCACGCGGCGUCAUCUCCGUCGAUCAAGGGCCGGGUCCCAUUUUUUGGUUUAAUCUGUGAUUGAUCACAGCCGUCCAUCAUCAUCAUGUCCUUCACCUCCUCUUCUCUCCACCCUCCAUCUCUCAACCUCCAGAACACUUCCUCCAAACACCCGCCUAACCUGAACUCCUCCUCCUCCUUCCUCCACCACCACCCCGUCGUCACCCCACGCGCCACCACCCUCCUCCCUUUCUCCGCCACGUCCGUCCAAAACUCGAUCCUCCGAGCCGCUUUCGCCGCCCAAGCCGGCACUUUGUUAUCAACGCCAUUCCUUUUCUUCCUCUUGAAAGGCUUGAAAACCCCACCUCUCCUCAAAAACUCAACCUCUUGAAAAAACCUAUUAACAUCAAAGCUCAAUAUCCUAACCUCCUCACCGUCGACGUAAAAAACAGGGUUUCCCGCCAUGUUCGGCGUCGAAGGGAUAUAACAAUUCCGAUAUAUAGGAAUUAAAACAGGCGCUGUUAUAAACAAUCUUUUAACCAAACCCAAAGCUUCAUUGGGAUUCGAAGGUUUAGUGCCCCAAGACGGAGACCAAAAGUUAUGCAACGUAAUGUUCUUUGAUAAAGACAAUAAAGGAAGAUUGAGGAGAACGUUGAGUUGCUGAGGUGACGAUGAUCGCCAAUUUGGGAACGAAGGGUCGACGGGGAGACCUUCUUGAAGUAUAGAACGGAGGUCGGGUGGGAAAGUGAAGUGAAAAGCCGAUUCGAUGGAGGUGAAUUCGUGGUCGGUUAAACCAGGCAGGAUGGGGAUUUCGAGGGUUUGAAGAUGGUGGAUAAGGGUUUUGGAAUAUGCAGCGAAAGAGAAACAAGCGAGCUUUGAUCUUGGCGGUGGAGCUUUGAGUAAAGGGUUUGGACGGUGGGUUUGGGCUGUCGUUGCUGUUGCUGUUGCUGUUGCAGCCAUUGGAGAUUCAGCUGAAGAAAUUGAGAGCUUUUUUUUUCUGCAAUGGCAGCUGCCGGUAGGUUUAAAAGGAGAUUCAAGAUUGAUAAGUGGGAACCGAAAGAAGAAGAGAUUGAGGAAGAAAUAUGUAAGAGUAAUAGAUGGAGGAGAACGGGGAAGCUCACAUGGAAGCCUCUUCUUACGUUGACAAUGUCGUUUCUUCUGCUUAUAUGCAUUUAUACAGGGUUAAUUCCAUAAUACAUCCUUAAACUACAACCAAAAUUUUAUAUUGGUCCUCAAAUUUUAAAAACAUUUAAAUUGAGUUUCAAAGCAUAGUAUCUUAUUGAUGCUUAAAAUAUUUAAAACACGUAGAUUAAAUUAUAAAUAAGUGUAUACUUGCAUAAAUAACUUGGAUCUGACAUGUUAAAUAAAAAAGAAAUAGUGUUUUUAAAUUUUAUUGUCAUUGUCUGUUUUUUAACAUGUCAUUUUCAAGGUGUCUAUGUGAUAGAUACACGAAUGUUUACAAUUUGAUCUUUAUGUUUCAAAUAUACUCCAUAUCAUACCAAAACUAAUAUUUAACGUCUAAAUUGACAAAAUGACAUAUUUGAUAUAAUGUUGAUGCUUUAAGGAUUCAAUUAGAACAUAUGUAGACAGCUUAGACCUAACAUGUUAAGAAGAAGAAAUACUGCUCCUAAAUUUAUUUUUAUUGGCAUUGUCUUUGUUUUAGCGCGUCAAAUCCAGAUUAUCCAUAUAAUAAGUAUCCACAUAUUUACAAAUUGAUACGUAUGUUUUGAAUAUACUCCAAAUCAAACCAAAGCUAGUAUUUAACAUCUAAAUUGACAAAAGGUUAUGCUUGUUAUAAUAUUUGAUACUUUGAAGAUUCAAUCAGAACAUUUUGAAGUUUUAGGACCAAAUUAAAAUUUAGGCUAUAACUUGAGGAUGUUUAGUGAAAUUAACCCUAUAUACAGAAUAUAUGAAAUCACUAUCAUGUGCCUGCAAUAUAUUUGUUUGCAUCUGCUUCCUUGUUACUUACUUCAAUAAAAGGGUAAAGCCAAAGAGAAAAAUGGAAAUCCAAGGCUGGAAUUGUGAAGUUUCUCCAAAUCCAUUACCCUAUUCCUUCAUUUGGGAUAAUAUUUUUGGCACCUCCAUCAACAAUAAAAACUAAAAGAAGGCAUUUACACACUAUUUUGCUCAUCUUACUUCAACAAACCAAUGAGUCCAAAACAUUGUUUGUCAAUGAGAUGUAAAUUAAAUUAGAGUUUACAAGUAGAAUCACAAUUAUAAAUAAUAAGUGUUGGAUUAAUUAUAAUUAAAACUAAUUCAAUUAUUUUAUAAAAUAAUUGAGUCUUAGUUCGAUUGGUAUGGAUAUUAUUGUCAAUGUAGGAGUACGUGAGUUUAAGCUGAAGCGCAUUAUCCUUCUAUCUAUGGGUUGGGAAAGGGGUUAUAGGUAGUUUUAAGCAUUGAGUCAAAAAGUGUAAAUACGAUCAAAACCUAUAAUAGAAUUAUUAAGAAAAUAGACUUGAGUUUAGUUUUUUCAACCUCGACCCAACUCCUUUCAUUGUUCAAAAAUAAAAAAUAUAUAUAAUAAUUUUAUAUUAAUAUAUAUAUAUUUUAUAAUUAAAUUUAAAUAAAAAUAUUUUUAUUAUUUUCAAACAGUGGGUUAUUUAGGAACCAAAUUUAAAUCUGACUCAUCACCUUUAAACAUACUCAAAGCAUAAUUGGCAUAAACCACGACAUUUUAAGUCUAAUAAAUUUUUGUACAAUUGAAAUUACUUAUAUUAAUUAUUAAAAAUAAUAGUUCAGACAAAUAAAUGUUGGGUGUAAUGAUAAGACAUGUUGCAUUCGUUAAAAAAAAAUAUAAGUUUAAAUCUUGAAAACGAUAUUAUUGGAAGAAUCAAUCAUGAACCCUAAACAUAUAGACGAUAAAUAUAAAAAAAAAAUGAUUCACACCUAUCACAAAUUAACUACAAAAGAGGAGAGGCAAUUCCUAUUAGGGCAAGAAGAGGCCUUAGCUACCUUUAGUUACUUCAAAUUAUUUAAAAAAUAAUAAAAUUAUAUUUUUAUUCAAAAAAAAUUUAUAAUUUAAUUCUUUCCUUUCAAUAUAAUUUUUUUAAUUUACCCCUUUGAGUGUAGGCUUAACUAAUUUUCAACAAUAUUUGAACUCUAAUGAUCUAAAAAAAAUACCUUGUUAAAAUUAAUAUUGAUAAUGGUAAUACAGAACAGUUGUAAAGCAAUAAGAACAAAAAAAUAAAACAUACAGAUUUUACGUGAAAAUUCCUUUCGGGAAAAACCACGAGUAGAGGAGAAGAAAAUUCACUAAUGUUGAAAAUCGAAUGAUAUAAAAUGAGUUUUGACUGCAUCUAUUUAAAUGUUGAAAAACCCUAUUCUAAUCAAUGUCAAAUAUAAGAAGUAAAGUUCAGUACGGAUUCUACUUGUGCAACAUAGUCUGUACACAGAUCUUUUUAUUUUGCUACUAUAUUUUAUUUCUUUAAUAAGGAUUCGGAUCACCCAACUUUAACAAACAUAUUAGAUUAAAUUGCAAUGAUAAAGAGAAUUUAUUAAAAAAAAAGGAUAAAGAAUAGAAUCAAAAGAUUAAUGUGAAGCAUAUGAUUGAUUUUGAGACAGUGAAAUGGAAACCAGCUUAUUUAUGAUAGUUACUUAAAGCUAUAAGAAUUUUUAAAUGAUAUUUUUUAAUUUUCCAAUCUAAUUAUCAAGUAAAUUGACUAUGUUUACCCACAAAUGACACAAAUUUCUUCUUCAUCACCUAAAACAAAAUUUUAAUAGCCCACCUAUCCAUAAAGAAAGAGACCAGAAAUGGUCUCAUCACAACAUGACAUAUACUUUUCCAUUCAUUUUCAACAUCUAUUAAAGUGACCCAAUUAAAUAAUAUUGUAGGCAAAAUCAGUUUAAAAAGUUAAAUAAAAAAAGAGAGGAAGGCAAAGUUCAUCAAAAUCUUGAAUCUUUUCCCUUUGCUUUGAUUAUUAUGAUUCCCAAGGACCCACAGUUUUGUACUUAUAAUGUUUGAAGAGUGAAGACAAAAUUGGCUAUGGGAUUCUGGAAUUGAAGAAAAUAUUGCCACAUGGCAUGAAAUUUUUUAGGCUAAAUAUUUAAAAAUGGGGAUUGUUAAAGGAGGGGCUGAUAUUUAUACAUUUUGGUUGCACAACAUUGGAAUCCAAUGAUUUUUCCCUUCUUUAAACUUAUGUAGGAUUCGGUAAAAUGUAGCAUUCACUUUUGAAGGACUAAUGAAAAGGAAGUGGGUUUCAGCUCCUUUUAAGCGAGUUUAAAGAAUUUAGCGAAAUAAGUCAAUUUUAAAGACAGAAAAUAAGAAUGUGUCAUAUAGCAUGUAUUUUUCGACUUUUCUUUUUUAUACAUUAGUUUAUUUGGUCAGAUAGUUAAAUGUUAAUGGUUUUGUUCUUGAGUUUCGGGUUUGAUUCCUUUAAUUAGAUGGUUAAAUAAUAGUGAUUUUAUCCUUGAGUCCCAGGUUCAAAAUUUCUUCUAAGCAUAUUUGUAUUUUUUCUAUUUCAUGGUGUUUCAAGUUUUUUUUUAAUUUUUAAUUAAUUUUUUAAAUUAAUAAAUAUAUUAUUUUCAAGUUUUUUUUAUUUUUAAUUCAUCUUUUUAAUUAAUAACUCUUUUACUUAUACAAUCAAAUAAUUAUUGCAAAUUAUAUAAUAAAAAUAUAUUUUUUUUAUAAAAUUGAUAUUUAUUAUCAUAUUAAAUAUUUUUUAUUUUUUUAAAAACAUCAACUAAUAUUUUUUAUAUAUUUUUUUAUAUAUAAUAUUUAUAUGUCAAAUAUUUAUUUUAUCCACCUAUAUUAUAUUGUGGGUAUGGUGAUUUCUAAUAUUAUAAAAUCAAAUAAUUAUUUCAAAUGUCAUUCUUAUUUUUAUAUGUAAAAUAUUUCAAAUAUCAUUGUUUUUUCAUAUGCAUUGUGGGUGCGAUAUUUCAAAUAUUUUUAUAUGUGAAAUAUUUCAAUUAAUUAUUUAAAAUAUAAUUAUUUUUAUAUGUGAAAUAUUUUAAAUAUACAUACAAAAAUAUAUAAUACUAAAAUUUACUACAUUUAUGAUAUGGAUUGAAAAAUAAAUAUUACACAUAUAUAAAUUAUAUUUACUAAAAAUAAUGAUAUCUCGCAAUAAUUAUUUGAUUUUAUAAAUAAAAGAGUUAUUAAUUAAAAAUGAAUUAAAAUUAAUAGAACUUGAAAAUAAUAUAUUUAUUAAUUAAAAAUAAAAAAGAAGAAGCUUAAAACAACAUGGAAUAAAAAACUACAAAUGUGCUUGAAAAAGGAAUUGAACCUAUGACUCAAGAAUAAAAUCAAUAUUAUUUAAUCAUUUAACCAAAGGAGUGACAUAUUAGGCUAUUAUAUAUACAAAGCCAGUUAAGUGGCAUGUUCAAAGUUGAUAUGUACUUAGAAUCUUUCAAUUGGGGAUAAAUGUAAUAAGUUAGGGUAUCAAAUC